CACGGACAGCCUCACGGCUUGCCGCCUCAAUGACAUUGACAGCUGGAAGAGCAUCUACGUCAAACAACUCUUUAAGGGGUUCUUGCUGGUGUAUAUCAUUCUAAAGUUUGGAUAUUACAUCGAGAAGGAUGUGGAUGCGGACCACCUGUGGUACCCGCUCUCAGCCAUCGUAUUUCUUAUUGUCAUCAAGUCAUAUGUGAUGAUAGCUUCCAUGAGGAUGGUGAGCAAGUCCUACCUCGGCAAGAACGUGAAGGUGGUCGCCGAUUACAUGCAGUAUAUAGACAACAAGCUGGUGACCUUUGAUCCUGUGACCAUGGAAGGAUACCGGUACAUGGUCGCUGGUGAGAAACACUGUGUCAACCGGCCUGGACACACACCAUGGUACAAGAAGCCGGACGACUUGAAGGUUACCACCGUGGAGCAGAUCUGGCAGUGCGAGGGGAAUCUGCUCAUUGGUGAUCAGGGCAAGGUGCUAAAGGACUUGUGCCUCUCUAUGGCUCUCUCCAAGAUGCUCAACCGAAGGUUUGCUGGCUUCAAGCUCUCAGAGGCAGAGCUUGAGAAAACCCAUGACUUCGUAUUCAAAGGCCUGCUCGCCGGGGACGAGCAGCGGGCCUUCAGGGUCAUUGAGGAAGAACUUGUUUUUCACCAUGACAUGUAUUACACAAGGUACUCUUACCUCUACCAAAAGGGUCGAUACCUGGCUCUCUGUCUGCCUGUCAUCAUGUCUACCCUAUGCUCGUGGCUCACAGUGACCAGCCUGCUCGACAGGCGCAAAAACCCCUAUCAAAAAUCCUCCUUAUUCGCAAAAGGCGAACUGGGUUACCCCACCAUAGUCACAACUCUUGUCGUGGCACUCCUGGAGGCAUACCAGCUGUACCUGUACAUGGCCUCAGGUUGGUUCAAGGUGGCUCUGAUACAGAGCUACGUCAGCGCACCAUUUUUGCACACAAGCUGUUCUGAGAUGAUCAUACGUUUUCUCUUGAUGUUGAAGGCGUUUCGCCCAUGGAAGGGCAGACUUGGGCAGUACUGUUUCCUCGAGAAUCUUGGCCACAAAAGUAAGGUUAUGAAUUGUCUCCAUUAUGCUACACUACGCCUGGUGGACAAGGCCAUGAAGGGGCGCAAGAAAUCAGUGAAGCUGUCUGGAAAUGUAAAGAAAGCCAUCAUUGAUUACCUACUAGGAAGCAACGGGCACCUGACGAAUGGGGUAACAUCGCUCCAAAGAAAUGGCGUCCAUGAUGACCUCGCAUGGGCAUGUGAUGCUUCUGCUACCGAUGGAGCGGUGACUCGCACCAUUCUGGUCUGGCACAUUGCUACAACAUUGUGUGAGCACCAGCUGGAUCAACAAGGCAAAGAAGCAGAGGCGGUUAGAACAGCCUCCACUUUAUCGAAGUAUUGCAUGCAUCUGCUGGCUUUCGCACCUAACUUCUUGCCCGAUCACAGCACUAUAUCGGAAUCCAUACUUGAUGAGUUAAUUGUACAGGGCAAGCUACUCGACGGGUCCAAUGAUUUUGAUAGCAGGUGUAAGCAACUAUUGAAGAUUAACACCCAUGAUGGUGAUGGUGGUGAAGCACCCCUUCUUGCACAGGGCGCUCAGCUUGCAAGGCAGAUUGAAGGCAUACAAGACUCGAAAUUGCGGUGGAAGGUCCUCUCUGAUUUCUGGGCGGAGAUGAUGCUGUAUGUCUCGCCGUCUGACGAUGCCCGGGCACACCUGGAAGUUCUUCCAAGAGGAGGGGAGUUCAUCACACACCUUUGGGCGCUGCUCACGCAUGCCGGUGUGCUGAAGCGAGGCCCUACAGAGCCAAAGGAUGUUGUGUGACCUCUCCAACAAGUGCACACGUAGCAGUCCUUAUAUCUAUCUAGUGCUUGUAACAUUCUAUUUAUAUUGCCUACUGUCAUGUUGGGACACACCAACUUGUGCCACACCAUGUGUGAGUUAGUCUGUCGAGUCUGUAUCUCUUUGCAUGUCGUGUCUGUUGUCGGAUUUUGGUCAGGGUCGGAGUCUGUAAUUUCUGCAAGAUUCGUAAGAAGAGUGCACGUUCAGGUUGUUGGACGUGUGCGUCUUAGGUGGCCAUUACUACAGUCAUGAUCCAGUGACCACUUGGCUCAGGAUCGCUAGUUAUGUUGCAUAAAUAAAGGGGAAGAAAAUUGAAAACGCUGCAGCUUCAUCGCAGCACAAAUCCACUCUCUCUCAGUUGCAUCUGUUUGUGUGUCAAUCGAGCAGCAGGUCCUGUUGCAGAUGAGAUUGACCCUACUACUACAGGGAGGGGCUCAACCUUGAGAUAGAAAGACGCCAGGGUAGGAAUUAUUGCAUUCAUGUUCGUAACAAGACUGAAUACGGUGUCCUCACUCUUCCCUCUUUUUUUUUUGAGUAACAGGAGGGGACAAGCCUCUACUGAAAUUUAUUGAAUGAAAUACGAGUCAAAAGAAAGGGAAUACAUAGGGAAGAGAUAGUGAUAAAAAAAGGGCCGAAAAAAUAGGGAACCAAGAUUACAGAGCCUCCAGGCAAUCCAUCAUGGCCGUGACCAGGGAGGGUUUGGCCCUAUGUAUACAGACUGUGUUCAUUUCUUCCAUGAAUUUUCGUUUGCAACUUUGAAUCGUGGGUGUAACAUUGUUGAAGGUCCAAUCAUUCCUCACGGACCAGAUGCUCCAAGUCAUUACGAUGAUGAUAUCCAUGAAGAAGGGCAUAUUCAGUUUGGCCUUAUUGAAUUUAAAAUCUGAACAGGCUGUCUGGAUGUGUUCACCAGUACCCCGAUAGAGGCCCAGUAAGCUUCGGCGAAGUUGCAUCUCAAGAAUAAAUGUGGCACCGUCUCCCUUUUCUGUAGAAUGCAGAGCUCACACGUAUAUGCAUCCAAAAGCAUUGUUUUGCUGCCUAAAAUAUCCUUGGUGCUCAAUCUAUCCUUAAUUAGCAACCAGUUGACAUUUAGAUUUCCACAGCCAUCCAUACAAGGGGUGAAUGCUUCUUGUACUGUCACAAUAUUCCCCAAUCUAUGUUGCAGGAUCAACAACUGCUGGUGUGCCUCUUUUGAGAGGGGGAGAUGAAAAUUAUUUUGAGCCAGCGAAGAUGUAUUGAGGGCCUCCUUAUAUGAAAUCAGUUUGUUCUUGGCAAAAGAGAAUAACCGGGGAAAUUCUAGAGAUAGAAUCUGUUCAUUCCAAGUGUCCAUCCAGAACAGUACAAUAGAACCAUUCGAUACCCAAACUUAUGCUAUUCCCUUGAAUUUGUCAAAUAUCUUGACUAUAUCUCUCCACUAGAAUGAGCCCUUUUUACGGUGCCCAGGCAAUUUGCCAUUGGAGUAGUAUUUAUCCCAAACCAGAUGGACCCAUGGUAUAUCAGCUUUGCUAAAAAAGCUGAUAUACUGACUGUGUUCAUUUCUUCCAUGAAUUUUCAUUUGCAGCUUCAAAUCAUGGGUGGAACAUUGUUGAAGGUCCAAUCAUUCCUCAUGAACCAGAUGCUCCAAGUCAUUAGGAUAAUGAUAUCUAGGAAGAAGGGCAUAUUCAGUUUGGCCUUGAUUGAGUUUAAAAUCUGAAGAAGCUGUCUGGAUGUGUUCACCACUACCCCGAUAGAGGCCCAGCAAGCUUUGGUGAAGUUGCAUCUCAAGAAUAAAUGUGGCAUUGUCUCCCUUUUCUGUAGAAUGCAGAGCUCACACGUAUAUGUAUCCAAAUGCAUUAUUUUGCUGCUUAAAAUAUCCUUGGUGCUCAAUCUGUCGUUAAUUAGCAACAAGGAGAAGAUUUUAUGUUUCAUUUGACAUUUAGAUUUCCACAACCAUCUAUACAAGGGGUGAAUGCUUCUUGUACUGUCACAAUAUUCCCCAAUCUAUGUUGCAGGAUCAACAACUGCUGGUGUGCCUCUUCUGAGAGAGGGAGAUGAAAAUUUUGAGCCAGCGAAGAUGUAUUGAGGGCCUCCUUAUAUGAAAUUAGUUUGUUCUUGGCAAAAGAGAAUAACUGAGGAAAUUCCAGAGAUAAAACCUGUUCAUUCCAAGUGUCCAUCCAGAACAAUACAAUAGAGCCCUCCGAUACCCAAACUGAUGCUAUUCCCUUGAAUUUGUCAAAUAUCUUGACUAUAUCUCUCCACUAGAAUGAGCCCUUUUUACAUAAAGGAAACAAAUAAGAAAUAUCAAUAUAGAAUAAAACAACAGAAAAUAAGAAAAGAAAGGAAAAAAAUUAGUACCUGUUGGGAUCCUCAACCGGUACUAAAGGACCCCCCUCUAGUACCGGAUUGCCAGUACCGGUUGCACAACCGGUACUAGAGGGGGGGUUGGGAACCGGUAGUAGAGGUGAUUUUUUCAGUAGUGAAUGUACAAAAUGUGCUAUCACUACUAGAAAUAUGACCUCUUAUCCCUAGCUUUAGUACCGGUUGUUUUUAGACCCAGUACUAAUGUUAACGUUAGUACCAGUUCCAAAAUUGAGAUGUCAUGGACCCCCUCUAGUACCAGAUGGUAGUUCCAACCGAUACUAGAGGCCACCCUUUUUUCGAUGCCAAUUGCCACCUUUUUUCGUAGUGAACCAAAACAAACUUACUGUCUCAGCAGCUAUCUCCUGGUGCACGCCCUUCAUAUGAGGUGGAAACACAAAGAGCAAGAACACACAAGUGUCCCCCGCAGUUUCUUCCCCAAGUGGAAUGGAAAAGAUCACAAUAGCUAUGCAACACUAGUAAGGUCAGCAAAGCAACUGAGUGCUUGUGUGUUAUGAUUCCAUCUACUAUAUAUAUGAUUCCAAGUCUGAAAGGAAUUUUAGCCUGUUCGUUUCGUCCCCAGUUGCCACUUCAGCACAACCUGCAAGACCUUGGGCCUAUGCAUCAUGUGAUAGAAUGAUCACUUCAUAAAACCAAACUGAAAUUCUAUACAUUGACCUCACAGAAGUCUACACCUAAUCCUGAGACUGACUGGACUUAGGGCCCGUUUGGUAGGGAUCCAGAUUCUCGUAGAAACAUUUUGAUUCCAGAUUCUCAUAAGAACGUUUCGGAUGACGAAUCAGAAUCACUAAAUCGUUUGGCUGCAGAACCAGAAUCACUGCGAAACCACGUUUUCAGCGAUUCACAUUCGUAGGCAGAAAAACGAGAAUCACUUGGAACCAAUUCUACGAGAAAUGUUUCACUGGUUACCCGUUUUGCAGUGAUUCUAGUGUUUCUCGCUAUAAUCUGAAACGUUUCUCGCUGCCAAACGGGGCCUUAAUCUUUAAUCAACUACCUCUUUACACCCUUGUUCACUGUGCCAUGGGCCAGUACUUCACUACUAUCAAACUAAACUUCAAUACCACCCCAUCACUACCGGUUCAUUAUUGUAGCAUCAAUACGGGUUCAAAUAUCUCAAGCCAGAAAAUGAUUCGGCCCGAGAUAUUAAACAAUUCAACUACGCAUGGCCGCUGAAGUGAUGGAAUGUUAAGUCGUCGUCAUGCAUGGUACAAUAGUCGAUGAAGACAUCAAACGCCACAAAAAGGUACGGUCAUCAGUCUUCGAUAUAUACUACCUGCUUACAUCAUUGUAACGGGUGAAGAUUCCCAUGUGAUCACGCGAAGUACCUCUUUCCGUUAUGUUUGUGUGUUCAGCUUGUGAACUGAGAAUACUGUAAAAAACUUGGCUGUGUGUGAUCGCAAAGGCCAGAGAAUUAUUCAUUUUCUAAAUUUUUUUUGUUGUUUAAGUUAAAUGGAGUAGUGCUGCCUAGAUUUCAUUCACGUAUGAAGUUAUUGCAUGGAUAUCUACUCGUUCCUAUUGGUUUUCAUGGCCUAUUUCUAAUUGGGUACAUGGACUACCAUAACUGGAUGGUAACAAUAAUCCGUGGUAACAAAUAUAGAAUAAAAUAAGUAAAACAUAGAAAAAUAAAAUGAGGAAAAAAGAAAAGAAAAAGGAAUUUAGUACUGGUUGGUAUGCCUCGGCCAUAGACGACGUGCCAGCCAAUUUAGUAUUGAUUGGUGUCACCAAUGUAGUAAUUAAUGUCCUACUAUUUACAGCAUUUAAAAAUUUGGACUCUUUAAAAUUUCUUUAAACCUAAUAUUAUUUAUUUUCUUGAAGUCAUUCCACUCAUUUUAUACUUUGAAAACUAUGCAUGGAACCUACAUAUGAGAAACAUUUGCUUGUAUUAGAAAUCCUAUUCUAAAUCCAAAACCCCCAAAACAUAAUAUAUUCUUCCCUAAAAAUCCUAGAAAUAAUAUCCCAUAACAUUCCCUCUUCUCAAGACUCUAUGAAUCAAUAUUCAAAUUUAAUUUGAAUAUUAACUCAAACAAACCUCGAUAAAACCUUAGGCAUAAUCUAACAUCUCUAAACAAAAACUCUUUCUAAAAGCUCCAUUUCUAAGUCCUAUUCACAACCCCAAUCCAAACUUAAUUUGAAUUUGAAAUCCAAUUCAAAUUAAAAGCACAAAACCCUACCAAACAAAAGACAAACUCUUAAAACCUAGUAUGGGCCGCCAACCUCGAACCCGGCCUGGCUUAACUCAGCCCAGCCCACGGCCGCGCGCGCCCACGCCCGCCUCCCACGUAGCCUAGCCUUCCCCCAUGCGGCCCAACUCAAUUAGCCCACCGCACCCGCCAGCCCAUCUCGCUCAGCCUAGUACCCCCUCCUCCGCGCUCGCUCGCUCACCCGCGCUACUGCCGGUGGGGAGAAAUUCCCCCGCCACCACCGUCGCCCUCCGCCGCGCUCUGCACGAUUGCACCAGAUGCAAUCCAUCCUCGUGCACCCCCAUAGCCUACCUUCGCCCCCAAGUAAACCAUCCCUCAUCUCCCUUAUCCCCACCGGUGCCUCCCCCCUCGCCAUGUGCCGCCCCCGGAAGCAUCCUUGCCAAUCGUCCAUCCACAUCCUUCCGCCAUGCUCGUCACCAGAUCACGGACACCAUCAAGCUAAUCAAGCUUCCUUUGUGGCUAUAAAAGGACACCAUUCUUCCCUCUCCUCGGCAGCAAAAACAAAAGUUGUCUUCCUUUAUUUUCCUUGACCAUAGCAUGAGCUCAAGCAUAGCUCCAGAGCUUGAGCUCACAGCUCCCAUGUCCGCACCCCCUUCGACCUACCCCUCACCUACCCAAAGACCUAUAUGAGCUCCCCUUCUUCUCCUCUCCCUCCACAUGACCUUCAUAUGGCCCAUGGUGGGCGAAGCAAUCACCCCAACAAGCUACAAAACCAAAUUUCCACCCCUCUCGUGGCUGCCAUGCUUCCAGCCCCCACAUCGCCUCCACGAGGCCUCAGAUGGAUUCCCCUCGAGCUUCUCUUCCUCUUGGUGCGAGCCUCAUGGCCGGCAGCGAGAUCCACCGCGAUUCUGGUGAAAAGCCACCGCGUCCCAUGAUGGAGAACCUGGCAAUGCCUCUUGACUUGGCACGAACUGACGCCCGUCAUUUGCCACUGUCCCGCUGCCGUAUGCUCCCUAUCUCCAUCAACCUGACGUGCGGGCCCAGCCAGGCAAAGCCAUCUGCUACGCCGUCACACCACCCACGCCUCCCCUCCUGCACAGGGUCGACUAGACCACAGGCACUGAGAGUGCUGGCACAGUGCGCCACCCAUCAAAAAUUGCUAAGUACACCUGGUGAAUGUACACACAUCUUUACUUAGAGCCCUUCUCUAUUCCAAAAAUUUCACAAAAUUGUCCAAAAAUACUAGAAAAUACUGUAAACCUAUCCAUGCCUUCCUUUCCCAUAGUUAAUUUCAUGUGAGCCCUUUUCCAAAAUAUUUAGCCCUUACAUAAUAGAAAAGCCCUAUCAUAUGUACACCAAUAUAUGCUUUCUUUUUAUUUCAAUUCCAAAAACUCAAGGAGAAUUCCUAAAAAUAUCUUAGAGCCAUCUAAACCUAUUCCAAGCCUUACUUCCACAUUUGCACCUACUAUGAUCCCAUGGCUAACCUGCUGUCGCUAUCACCUUUCAUGAUGUAGGUGUCCCCUGCCCGGGAAAGCUCUGCAUAACGACAACAGCCUAGUCAAGCCAUUCUUUUAACCGGGUUACAUCUGAGUCGCUAUCAAUCUUCUCUUGCCAUAAGCACAAGCUCGGGAGAUGAGCUUGAGAAGACGCCGAUCUUGCCCGGCUCCACCUAUCGCCAUGUGACUACCCCCUAGCAUCGGAUCAGGUCAAAGUGAGUUCAUCAUGCAAGCUCUUUGGCAUCCAUUCCUAUUCCGCACUAUCUUGCCUAGCUCCACCUGUCGUCGUGCGAUUAUCCCAAGGAAUUCUCUCGAGCUCCACCCACCGAAGGGCUAGAGCUCAGGUCGAAGUAAGUUUCGCCGCGCAAAUUUCAUGAACCCACAUCUAAACUACCAUGCUAAGGAUCCGUCCAAAAUCCUAACGCCGUAUAAAACCUAGCCGUUAUCCUGCCCCACCAAAACCUUAGUUGUUGAUAAAACUUAGCCGUUAUGCUACCCAACCAAAGCCCUAGAAAUUCCUAGAAAAUCCAUAAGUAAUUUCCUCGAAUUAUUUUAUAAACCAUUCACCAAAAUCAAUUAAUUAUUUAUAAGAUUAUCUCUAAGUCAUUAAUAAAUCAUUCAUCCUUUAUCAAGGAAUUAUCCUUUAGAUAUAUGAUAAUUCCCAAAAACACCCAUCAUCCAUUCUCUUUCGAAUCCCUUUGCUGUAAAUUGACUGUAAGAAUUGUUUACAUGCUUGUAUGCCUGUUUGACCCGAGAAUAUUACCAAGAUAUAGACAGAAGCCAACGAUCCUGAAGAAAUAAAGUCAAAGGUCCGACCGCCUAGAAGACCUAAGUCAUGUUAGCCUAACCAGGAUCCAAUGAGAAAUUGUAGAUCCAAAAGGUGAGAAACCAAGGCCCUGGUAAACCUAGGAAGCAUAUAAGGAUCAUCAAUGAAGGCAAGUCCUAGAACCAACCUCCUUGAUCAUAUUCUAGUCCUAUUUUUUCUAAAUAUUAAAAUUAAACCAAGAAUAUAACUUUACUUGCAUGCUUUUAAAAAACCCUAAGGGCAAUCCACCUCUAUUUCUUCUUGCCAUGACUUGAAGCUAUUUCUAACCAGAAAGCCUAACAAUGAUCCGGGUCACUACUAGAUCAAUGAUCGACAAUAUUUAGAAACAAAAUUCUUAGGAACAAUGCAAAUACAAUGAUUUUUAUGGAAAAAAACAAAAGCUGUGUGUUUUCUUGUUAAGUCUAAAAUGAACCAACUAAAGAGUUAGUAACCAUUAUGAAUAGGACAUGGAAGUAAGGUGGCAGCUGUUGGGGACCGCCCCACAACGCACCCUGAACAGCACUGGCAGGGACCCUCUCUCUUAAUCGACUCCAAACUCGUCACCUUCCCCUUUUACGAAGCCAGCGAAUAACCGAAGUCAACUAUCACGAAGGUAUCCACUCUGUUGUUUUGCAGGCAAGGACUUGCGAAGUUAAAUCUCCCACGGAGCUCUCAGCAAUUUGGCUUCGGGGAGAUUCCGUGACCAGAAGCCGAAGUUAGCUGACUUCGACCGAAGAAGGUGGGAAGUUUACGGAAGUUUGCUCGGUCCCGACGAAGCUUGUGAAUGAGGAAGAGGGUAAUCAAGACAGCCCUGGGACCACAUUACAGCAAGACAACUCUGUAAUAAGAAUCUUAGAAGGUUGGAAAUGUAAUUCUACUGUGAAAGUGACAUUUUGAAUAGGAACCAAGUUACUGUCCUGUACGGAAUAUUCUUAGGAUGUAGUGGUUGAGUAUGGGUAUAACGGGGAUGCGGAAAUAUAACUUUAUAACCAUAUAAAGGGAGAUGAACCGUCCCCCCCCAGGAGGGGCAUUAAUCACUGAUAGGAUAGCUAUUGUCAUGUUUGUCUGAACGAUCGUUAUCUUCGUUCGUUGGGACAUUCUUACUAUUGCUUGGGUGUACCCCAACAGCAGCCUCAGUGGAGAUUUCUGUCCCGAUGCUUACUUCGAUCACUUAAGAACCGGUCCACAAGCAAGUCUUUCUAGUGAGACGUACAACCAUAAGUGCCAAAAAGGUACAGCCUUCGGGAGUGCCUAUUCAUGUGAGGCCCUUAUUCACACCCUACUAAAUGAACCUAGAAAUCCAUCCCAAGGGGCCACGGGUAGGGAAUGAAUAUAUUGGAACAAGAACUUCGUAUAGUCCUAGAUCCGGUCAGCACAGGUUGACUGUGAGAGGGUUGGAGACCCUAUUGUUAGUUGCUUUGUGCGCACUUUCCCAGUGUUAUAUCCGCGAGGCAGAUGAUAGUAACCCUUAUUUGGAUCCCAGUAUAUCUGUUUUAAGGACCUAGGGGAUAUUGUCUAGAGAUUGACACUGGUGGGUACGGGUCUCGUAAGUCAGUACCGCCUAAAGCUAAGGUAUGGACUAAUCAAAUGUGUGUGUAAAGUGUACAAACUUUACAGAGUCAAUAAUAUAUCUAGAGAGCUGAGGCUCGUGUCGAUUCGCAAUCUUGUGUUUACAUAACUAGGGUGUUAGCGGGGAAGGGCUGAGGCCCUAAGAGAGUUAUUUUAGAAUGAGGAGUAAGCCGGCCCAGGAGGACCUAACGGUCCCUUGUGCUCUUUAAAACAUGGGAACCGGUAUGGGAGGUAACAUUCCCCCUCCAGGGUCAACAAAUUCAUAAAAGUGCUUUUUUCUUUUUCUUCUCCCAAAACUCACCUCAACUUGCAUAAAAUGAGUUUCUUGACAAAACCAAACCUCAUGUCCAAUUCCGUGACUAUCCUUUCAUUUAUAAUUUCAACGCUAGGAUUUGCUAAGUACCAACCAUAAGUGUACUCAACCUUGCUUUCAUUAUACAAUUUUAGACAUUCUGGCUCUAAAUUUAUUCUGCCUGUGGAGUGGUGAAAAACUAUUUUUCCAUAAUUUUAUGCGUAUUUUAUUGUUUUGAUGCUAAUUUGUGAGGAGGAUUAUAUCAGCUACUGAUCCAGAGGAAGGUCCCCACAACCAACUGGUACUAAAUGAGCACCUUUAGUAUGAGUUAUGUGGCUUCAUACUAAUAGCCCCCUUUAGUACCAGUUCUUCAACCAGGGUUGAGACCGGUACUAAAGGUGGAUUCCCCAGUAGUGUGUGGUGCAUCACACCCCGUAUUCUUGUUAUAAACUGGUAGAGAUACUACCUUUCAUACCCAGUUGUAGAAUUGCGAGUAAGACCCUUAGGUAUUGAUCCCUCGUAUGCACUACCGGUUCACAUUAAUCCUGAACGAGGAGUGUUGUCCAUUUAUAUAGUAGUGUGAUUUAAAAGGAAAAAUAUAGUUUCCAUUAAAUAGUUAGUGAUGUGGCCUAAUCGUUGUUGCUUAUUGCGUUUUGUUUUCAAGAAAACACGAAAGACAUUUGUGCGGGGGAGUACCAUUUCAUGUAUACAUAUAUCUUUCCAUCACUACGGAAAAGAUAAAAAUUGCCGAGUGUUUUUUCUUUGCCGAGUGUUUCGAACACUCGGUAAACAGGCUCUUUGCCGAGUGCCAAGCUAAAAACACUCGGUAAAGAAAAAACACUCGGCAAAUCGAGGCUUUGCCGAGUGUCACAAAAAAUACACUCGGCAAACCCCCCUCUUUGCCGAGUGUCAAAAAAAACACUCGGUAAAGAGGGGGGGUUUGCCGAGUGUUUUUUUUGACACUCGGCGAAGAGGGGGGUUUGCCGAGUGUUUUUCUUGACACUCGGCAAAAAAAUAUUUUUUUUCCUCUUUUCACCUUGAAAUUUUUUCUACUUCCCACAUACAACAUGUGGUACUCCAUGUUAAAAUUUGGUAUAUUUUUGGAUUUAUUUGCCAUAUUUAUUUAAUUAAUUGCAUUUCAAGGAAAUUUUUGGUAUAAGUCAAAUUUGAACUGCAAGUGAUUCAAAUUAUGGAACAAAAUGAGUAGAAAAAUGAUAUUUAUGUUAUUUGGCUAAAUUUGAGACCUGACCCAUGAAAUGAAAAGAAAUUUCGAACAUAUUGUUCAGGAAACACGACAAUGAAUCGUGUGGCGGUAGUAUUUUUAAAUUGUAAAAAAAAUAAGCAAAGUCUAAUAAUCUUGGAUUUGUCAUGAUGUGAUGAUAUAAUAUGUAGAGGCUGUGGAAAAAAAUUGAGAAGGUUUUGCACAUUUCAUCAUGUACGAUGAUUACAAACCGAAGCAUCUCAGAAGAAGAAUAGUGACUUUGAGAAGGAUUCGAUAAAAUUUAGAGUCGAAGUGACGGUCGAGUUCAGUUUGACUACAAAACUUUUUGUAUAGUCAGUAGAGAACACAUAUUGUUUCGUGUGAAAAUUUAGUAUUUUUUUGAAACUGUUGGAUAUUUUUUAAUUUUUUUUGAAACCCUUUACUGAGUGUCCACAUCGGACACUCGGUGACUUCUUUUUUUCCCAACCGCCCAGAGUACUUAUCCCCGGCCGACACCGCACCCACCCGAUCUCCUUCAUUCCUCCGCCACUACCCCACCCGUCCCCCACCUCUUCCUCUCUCCCUGCCGCCACCGCCGCCCGCCGCCCGGCGCCCGACCUCCGGCCCCGCCACCGCUCGACGCCCGGCGCCCGGCCCCCGGCCCCGCCCGCUGCCACCCCCUUCUUCCCUCCGGAUUUGGCCUCUCCUUCCCCGGCUCCCUCCCCUCCGGCCGGAUCCGCGCCCCCUUCUUCCCCUCCGGCGCGGAUCUGGCGGCCCCCUGCUCUCUCCCCUCCAGAUCUGGCGCGGAUCCGGCAGCGGGUGAGGCAGCGUGGUGGCGGGUGGCAGCGGGCGUGGCGGCCGGUGGCGGCGUGGUGGCCGUGGCCGUGGCCGGCAACCGGUGUUUCUAUUUUUUUUUAUUUUUUCUGAAAAUGUUUGCCGAGUGCUUUUUGACACUCGGCAAAUCAUUUGCCGAGUGCCUGAUGUUCGACACUCGGCAACUCCACCGUUUGCCGUAGGAAAGUUCGCCGAGUGCGGUUCGCCGAGUGUUACACUCGGCAAACUGUUUGCCGAGUGUUUUUGGGCCUUUGCCAAGUGCCUCAGGCACUCGGCAAAGUUCCUUUUUCCGGUUGUGCAUGGCGUGUAUUAUAUAUGGUUUUGCUCUUGGAAGUUCUUGUCACUGGUAGAGAAUUGGCCUUUAGUCCCGGUUGGUAGGGUGCAUAUCUCUCGAAAAUCCAUUCGGGAUAAACUAACCGGGAUAAAAGGGGGGGGUCUCUAGUCCCGGGUCUUUUAACCGGGAGUAAAGGUCCCCCUUUAGUCCCGAUUGGUGUCACCAACUGGGACUAAAGGGCCUGCCACGCCAGGCGCGGGACAGGCCCUUUAGUCCUGGCUCGAUUCCAACCGGGACUAAAUGGCGCUUGCAUGGCACUGCCGUGACGCCUGAAUUUUUCAUGCAUGCAUCACGUAUACGUAGUACCGCGGCCCUUUUAAUUUGUUAACCUUGUAGUUGAGAUUUUUUUAGAACGAAAUCAACUAGUAUUUAAACGAAUGGGAUUUGUAAUUAUACAAUUACUAUAUAUAUACACAAUCCUUAUACACAAUUCAACUAGCUUAGUAAAAAUCGAUCAUAAUUAGCGCGUAUUAUAUAUACAAAUAAAUCAAAGUAUCUUCCUACAAUCUUCCCGUCGUGGUGUUGCUGAUCGGAGUGUCUAAUUGUCGUCCAUCGUAAUAAAAUUCUCCUUUUGGAUUUACCACCUCGUCCAUUAUGAAUCCAAUGAGACCUUCACAUAUUGCCGCUACUCUUUCUUCCUUCAAGAGUCCUUGUUGAAUAUUUAACAUCUAUAAUUUGGAAAUUUGUGAAUGUUACAUGAACAAAUACAUAUAAGGAGCUAGAAAAUAAUUAACUAUUAAUAGUUUUAUUUUACGUACUUUAAAGUUGUGCGGCGUCAUCUUCGGUCCCUUGGGUCCCAUAAAACUGUGCAUGUGCUCACAGGUGUAGUAGCCACAUAGAUUAUUCCCGGGUUCCUGUCUUAAGCACUUCAGUGCAGAAAAAAAUAAGUUAUGAAAUAUUCGUGUUAUACAAUGUAAUAAAUGUGCAGACUGCAUACGUACUGGGAAGUCUGUGUUCCAUGUAAGUUUUUCUUUGAAUGGACCUUUGUGUGUCCUUAUGAAUUGUUUCCAUGCGCUGCGGAUUAGAAUAAUGAAUGAUAUAGUGUAACACGGAUAAAAUUUAGGAAAUAAAUUUUUGCAUAGAGAUAAAGGUCCAGAAUUAUUACAAGCCUAGCAUGUCUUGCAAUUCUUGGUAGUCCACCGGAUCUUUACUUAACAAAUCAAAGACAGUGACGUGGCUUCUUUCAGGCUCAAUUAUAAUAAGGAUCCAGUGGAAGCUGCGUGCGUAAAAUGUUCAUGCAUAUUAGAGCUAACUAACAUGUAGAGAUAAGGAAAAAGACAUCGAAAGUAGACGGUAUACACACACUUACUUGAAGUUGUAUGGAAGUAGUAUGAAAUCCUUGAAUGUUUGUUUGUGUAGCAAAUUGUAUAUUUCCGUAAAGGUUUUUUCCGGCGCUAAUUGUAUUUGUUGUUGGUUAACUACAGAUGGAUCCAUGAAGCCUAUAUGUAGGUACGCAUCUCGGCGACAUGUCUGAAUUAGCAUCCUACAUGAAAUGGAAGAUGAAGUUAGUACGGUGACGCACGCCAAAAUUUACAUGUAGAGAUAAACGGACACUUACAGAAUCCAAGCGCUGAUCAGAGAGACGUCCAGAGCAUCAUGAUGGUACACUUCGUAUAUAUCCUUGAAGUCUAGCCACAGCACUUUCUCCCCUUCACCGUGAAAAUCUAUCGGUUUUACCUUCAUGCUGAUCAUCUCCCUCGAGUCGGCGGAUGCCAUCAUGUACCAUUGAUGGAAUUCGUACAUCUUUGUUGAUAGCUUCCGUACCAAUGAAGGCUUUACUAGAGGUUUGCCUAGCUCAUAAGGCCACUUCGGCUCAGGGGGCAGUGCAGUUGGCAUCUCAACUUGCCCUAUGCAUUCAUCAAGUCCCAGACCUGUUUCUUCCAUGAACUUCAAUACAUUUGCUUGUUGAUCCAAGGGCAUUGCUUUUACCCGUUGAGCAUCUUUUUUUGAUAAAUGGCUGAGGUCGGGGACUGGACCGCUGGAAGAUGACUUUCCUUUCCUUUUAUCCUUUUCAUCAGCCUUUACUAGAGCCCGUUCAUAGUUUGACAAGAGUGGUAUCCUUUUCUUGGCUCCUUCUUCCAUCCUGAUAAAAAAGUUUAAAUCUCGCCGACUUACUGGCGGUGGCUCCAUCUCCCUUGCCUUUUUUUCUUCGGCUUGUUUCUUGAACCACUCACUGGCCUCUCGUUGGAUUUCUGCCCACUGUUCUGCAUGAGACAUUACCUCAAAGCGUUCCUUACGAGUCACUUCAGGCUCCUUUGUUUUCUUCUUUCUCUGUCUUUGCUUGGGAGGCGGUGCUCGUGACUACUUUAGUGGUGCUGCAGGUUCCUUCAAGGGGGCCGCUCUUGGUGCCGGCGACGGUGAUCGGGGAGGGGUGUUGUUAUUGUCGUCGUCGCUCCCAGCACCAGGAUGUGGUGGAGAUGGAGACCUUGAUAUAGAUGGAAGGGACGGUCCUGGAGCAGGAGAUGCCGGUCUCGAGGUAUGAGGAGAAGGUCGCUGCUAGGGAUCUACGGGGAGCGGUCUUAAGGUCUGAGGAGAUGGCUCCGUGCGGAGAAUAAUGAUGUAGUGUUUCUUCCAUAGAAUGAUCCCAUGAAGCGCAUCUGCCAAUGUCUUUUCCCCGUCGCCUCCCGGGAAGUCGAGCUCUAGACCUUCAUACUGGGGAUCAACUAUUUGCUCGAUGCAGACGCUGGUGUAGCCUGUUGGAAUGUCCAUGCCAUGACUGCUCUGCCCUGCCAGGGUUGGUAACGCACUCCCGUACGCUACCUGUACAUAUAGUAGAAGUAAACAAGUUGAACUCCGAUCUCGAGGCCUGGAUCAAUUGACAAUAUUGCAUAAAUAUUAUGUAUAAGUAUACCUUAAUAGUGAGGUUGCCGACCGGUGCAUGCAGCUCACAUGAGGUCCGUUGCUCCUCCACGGGUAACCUGGGCGUCUGCGCAUCGGGGACCCCUGUAGAAGCACAACUGCUCAAGAGGUGUUGAGAAGGGCUGGCGGUGUUAGGAUUCGGCAUUGCUCCAGAUUGGGCCAACUCCGCAACUGCGUGGGCCACCCACCGAUUGAUUUCAUCCAUCAUUCUUUGUUCUAGCAUCUGCCGCCAGCUCUCCUCGAUCUGUUCCUUUCUUCACUUCCGGCUUCUGUAAGAGGCGCUGUCGCCUCGGAAAGCGAACUUCCACGGAACCACCCCGAACCCUCGGCAACGUCCUGGGUGCUCUGGAUUACCGAGGGCCAAUGUGAGCUCAUCAUUUUCUCGGUCCACCUUCAACCUCCCAGCCUUAGAAUCUUCAAUGUUCUUCAUGAGAUGUUUGGCCUUCUCACGUAUUGUGUCAUUAAAAAUCAACGUCCCAUCCUCUUGGCUUAGGGAGCCUCCAUGAGCGUAGUACCAAUUUUUUGAUCGUUCGGGCCAUUCAAUAGUUGCAGGUACGAUUCCCCGUUCGAUCAGAUCUUGUUCCAUCUUCCUCCACUUGGGAAUUGCUGAGCCAUACCCACCUCGCCCCAAAUGAUGGUGGUAGCCCUUCUGACUAGCAUUUGCUGUGUUGGUCGUGAUCUUUUUCACACCUUCUUCACUCCUCUUAUAUUCAACAAAUGCAUCCCAGUGGUCCCUCAACUUUGGCCACGCGUUGAAGUCUGGAGUUUUGCCCUUCUUGAUGUAGUGGGUAUCCAGCAUCUUCUUGAAUGUCUGGAAUUGAGUAGCCAUCUUCUUAAGCGUCCACGCUUUGACAUCCUUCUCACUAUAUCCUUCGGGGAAUGUGAAAUGUCUCUUCACGUCUUCCCACAGCAUAUUAUUUUCUGUCUCUGGAAGGGCGUACGGAUUAGUGCUUCUGCCCUUCCAUUCUCUAAUGCUGAUAGGCACGUUGUCCCGGACGAUUGCCCCGAUUUGACUCACGUACUUCUUUGCUACUUUCUCGGGAGCAACCGGCCUGCCCUCUUCUGUAACUUCCGUGAUGACAAGCCUCCCUUCCAUCACCUUUGUACGACCUCGGGUCUUCUGCCCUUGUGUCGAUCCGGAGGGCUAACAGUUCAAGAUUCGUUAAUUAGUACGUAGUAGUAACGGUGGCGUGAAACAAUUCAAGAAUGGUUGUAUAUACCUCGCCGAAACCUUCCGCCACGGCAAGUUGUUGCUGCGGCUGUUGCUCUUCAUUCCCAUCGGCGGACAUGUUGACGAACAUGUCCGCCUGGGUGCCCUCUUCAUCCGUGUAUGAUAGUGGAACGUUGUCGCCACUACCAUCACCAGCGAUUAUCUGCUCCAUGAUAUACCUUGCGGUCUCAUCGUCUGCCAUUUCAACUAUUGAUGGAAACAUACAUGGAAUCAUACAUGACAGUCAUAGAACUCGUCUUACUACAGAUUUGUACAAAGUCCUACAAAGUCCGGAAUCAUACAUGUAUAUAAUGAAAUCAUAAAAUAACAUGAAUCGUACAAAGUCCGGAAUAUUUAUACAAAUUUCUACGAAUUUCUACGAAUUUCUAUAAAUUUCUACGAAUAUCUACGAAUUUCUACGAAUUUCUAUGAAUUUCUACAAAUUUCUACGAAUUUCUAUGAAUUUCUACAAAUUUCUACGAAUUUCUACGAAUUUUGACGAAUUUCUAACAAUAUCCACGUGCGGUGCCUAGGUUGUGACGGCGGUGAUCAGGGCGGCGGAGGCGGGACGGCGGCGGUCAGGGCGGCGGUACGGCGGAGGCGGGGAUGGUUCACCGGAACCACGGGCGGUGCCUACUAGGUUGUGAUGGCGGCGGUUAGGGCGGCGGUACGGCGGAGGCGGGGACGGUUCACCGGAACCACGGGCGGUGCCUACUAGGUUGUGACGGGCGGCGGGACGGCGGCGAUCACGGCGGCGGGACGGCGGAGGGGACGGCAGUGCAUCCUACAAAUUUCUAACUUCAUUUUCUAACUUAAAAAUCUAACUUAACAAACUAACUAAAAAAUCUACAGUACAAAUAAAACUUAAUUUUCUAGCUUAACACUCAAAAUUAGAAAUCUAUCGUAAAAAUAUAACUUAAUUUUCUAACUUUAAAAAAAACCCUCCCGGCGCUGCCGGCCGGCGCGGCAGCGGACCUCUUGCGCGCGGGGCAACGGCCGGGUCGGCGGGACGGCGGCGGCCGGGGCGGCGAGGACGGCAGCUGCCGAGGCGACGACGACGAUGGCGGCGUAGGCAGGACGGCGACGAGAUGGCGACGAGGGGCGACGAGGGGCGACGAGGAUGGAGCCGGCGAUGACGAUGGAGCCGGUGGCCGGAGGCGACGAGGUGGCCGGGGGCCGGGCGCGUCGACGGACGAGGAGGGGAUCGAGGCGGGCCGGCCGGGGGACGACGACGGCGCAAUGGGGGACGUCGACGGCGCAAUGGGGGACGACGACGGCGGUGGCUGGCGAGGGAGGCGGACGGGCGGCGACGGCGGAGAACGCACGGGACUUGGCGAAAAUUUGGCUAAGUGUGUAACUGGCAGGGGGUAGAAGGGAGUACAGUGCCUUUUAACCCCCCCCCCCCUUUAUCCCGGUUCGUAAUGGCACCCGGGACAAAAGGGCCUUUUGUCCCGGGUCCCGUCACCAACCGGGAUAAAAGGUCCCCCUUUUAUCCUGGUUGGUGACGGGACCCGGGACAAAAAGGUGCCCCCGCCAGGUGGGGCUGGGAGCGUACCCUUUUGUCCAGGGUUCCGUCACCAACCGGGAUAAAAGGCCCCCUUUUAUCCCGGUUGGUGACGGGACCCGGGACAAAAGGGUGCCCCCGCCAGGUGGGGCUGGGAGCGUACCCUUUUAUCCCGAGUGCCACCACCAACCGGGAUAAAAGGGUACGUUCGGGCGGGAGACGAAACGUACCCUUUUAUCCCGGUUGCCGUUUGCAACCGGGAUAAAAGGGGGGCCUUUUGUCCCGGUUGCUGUUAACACCCAAGACAAAAGGUCUUUUUUCCUAUUUUUCUUCUCCCGCCUGUUUUUUGGAAAUGGAUUUUAUUUUAUCUUUUCACUGCAUUUCAGGAUGAAAAACAAAACCUUCACAGAUUUUGUACAUGCAAAAAUAUAUUUAAUUAACGAGUAAAUUGACAAUAAGUAUGAAUUAAUCAUUAAUUCUAUACCAGUUCAUUUAGCCUGUAAAAUAUUUAUUUUACUGCAUUGCUGUGAUCAAGAAAUUAUUCAAUUAAAUUAUUUCAAUGCGCAGAAAAAUCCAUGUUAGUAUGUGGUUAACAAUGUUCAUGUUUAUCUAAAAAAUCUUCACCUAAGAAAUUUAAUAACACAUAAAAUCAUACAUAGGGUAAAUUACAAAUUGUAUCAAUUAAUACACAAAGGUCAUGUACAUUUAACGCAUUACAAUACAACGUUGUAAAAUUUCUUCUUCACGAAAGUUUACUUGAUCAUGAUCGUGGCGUAAGUACGGAGCCUCUUCUUUGGAUAGCAGGAUGCUUGGAUCAACUUCAACGGCGAAUGGAGGCAUGCCAUCAAACUGAUCAUAAUCAUCUGAUUGGUCUGUUUUAUCCUCGACUCCCACGAUUUUUCUUUUACCUAGAAGAACUAUGUGGCACUUUGGCUCCCAUGUCUCUUCUGGAUUCCUCUUGGGUUUGCUGCACAUGUCCUUCACAUAGAACACCUGAUGCACAUCAUUGGCAAGUACGAAUGGGUCAUCACUGUAUCCAGUCUUGCUCAGAUCUACUAUUGUCAUUCCGUACUGAUCUUUGGUGACGGCAGUUAGCUUCACCCAAUUGCAAAGAAAUAGAGGGAUGUACAGCGGUCCGUAUUCGAGUUCCCAUAUCUCCUGUAUGAAACCAUAAUACGACUCCUUGCUAUUAUUUCUGUCCAUGGCAUCUAUGCGGACACCACUAUUCUGGUUCGUGCUUUUCUGAUCCUGGGCUCUCGUGUAAAAUGUGUAACCAUUUAUCUCAUAGCCUUGGAAUUUGACGAUUGUGGUAGCAGGUCCCCUGGCUAACCAGGCAAGCUGUGGGUGAAUCUCAGAGUUACCCAUAAGUUGUUGGCGCAACCAGGAGGGAAAAGUUUCCAUGUGAUGACGGGUAAGCCAAGCAUCGGAUUUGGUCGGGUUUUUGGAAGCUACCAUCUACCUGUGCUGCUCGAUAUACGGAGACACAAAGGAUGACUGUUGUAGAACAGUGUAGUGUGCCUUGUCGAACAAAUCAGUAUCAUUGCUCAAACUUGAUUUGCUUCCAAGGGUGCCCAUUCCUCGGAGCCUCCCCUCGUGGCGUGAAGUUGGAACCCCAAUCGAGUCAAUUGAAUCAAUAAAAUCAACACAAAACUCGAUCACCUCCUCUGUUCCAUAUCCCUUGGCGAUGCUUCCUUCUGGACGGGCAUGAUUAAGAACAUAGUUUUUUAGGACUGCCAUGAACCUCUCGAAAGGCCACAUAUUGUGCAGGUAUACAGGUCCGAGAAUACCAAUCUCUUUUACUAGGUGAACCAGUAAGUGCGUCAUAAUAUUGAAGAAGGAUGGUGGAAAUAACAACUCAAAUUUGACAAGAUAUUGCACCACAUCGUUGUGUAGCUUUGAUAGCUUGGAUGGAUCGAUUGCCUUCUGCGAAAUCGCAUUGAGAAACGCGCAUAGCUUUACGAGCGGCAACCGGACAUUUUCUGGUAGAACACCCCUCAGUGCAACCGGAAGCAACUGGGUCAUCAACAUGUGGCAGUCAUGAGCCUUGAGAUUUGUAAACUUCUUUUGUUUCAUAUUUAUUAUUCCCUUUAUAUUCGAGGAGUACCCAGACGGGACCUUCAUACUAUUCAAGCAUUCAAACAUGCUAUCCUUCUCUUCCUUGCUGAGAGUGUAACUGGCAGGACGUAAGUAGUGCUGUCCAUUAUCUCUCUUUUCCGGAUGUAGGUCAUCUCGUUGCCCCAUGGCUUUCAGGUCCUGUCGUGCUUCCAAUGUAUCUUUUGAGGUUCCAUAAACACCCAUGAAGCCUAGCAUGUUCACGCAAAGAUUCUUACAGUGCUUCAAGUACAUGCUGUCUGUGUCGUCUAAACAGUGGGUGCAUGCCCGAUAUCCCUUAUUUGUCUGUUCUGAAAGGUUACUCAAUGCAGACCAAUCGUUGAUGGUUACGAACAACAGUGCUCGUAGAUUAAAGAUCUCUUGUCUAUCCUCAUCCCACACACAUACACCUUCUUCCUUCCAGAGCUGUAAAAGGUCAUCAACCAACAGCCUUAGGUACACGUCAAUGUCGUUGCCGGGUUGUUUUGGGCCUUGGAUAAGCGCCAGCAUCAUAAUGAACUUCCGCUUCAUGCACAGCCAAGGAGGAAGGUUGAACAUACAAAGGGUCACAGGCCAAGUACUAUGGCCACUACUCAACUCACCGAAUGGAUUGAAUCCAUCAGUGCUUAAACCAAACCUUAUGUUCCUUGCUUCACUUUCAAAGUCUGGGAAUGUUCUAUCAAUUGAUCUCCACUGUGCCCCAUCUGAGGGGUGUCUCAGCAUCUCAUCUUCCGUACGGUCUUCUUUGUGCCAUCGCAUCAACUUAGCAUUUGCCUUGUUCCUGAACAAGCGCUUCAAGCGUGGUAUUAUAGGGAAAUAAAACAUCACCUUCGCGGGAACUCUCUUCUUGGGAGACUGCCCCUCGACAUCACUAGGAUCAUCUCGCCUGAUCUUAUACCGCAGGGCUUCGCAGACGGGACAAGCAUCCAAUUUCUCGUAUUCAUCACCAAAUCAACUGACCAAGGUCAUCAGUAGGGUCAUUUUCUGCAAACUCAUCUUCAUCAGCCUCGCCCAUUGUAGUACCUGCAAAAGCUUGGCCUGCAACCCAGUCCGGAAUGGUGUCAUCUUCCUCCUCCUCCUCGCCAUCUUCCAUUACAACCCCUAGUUCACCGUGCUUGGUCCAAACCAAAUAGUUAGGCAUGAAACCGUAUUUAAACAAGUGGCUGUGAAUAGUCCCCCAGGAAUCCUUUGAAUACUCCUUCCUGUUAUUGCAUUGGAAGCAUGGACAACAUACGAACCCAUUCUCUGGCUUAUUCGCUUUUGCCACUUCGAGAAAAUAAUGCAAGCCAUCAAUAAACGCCUUGCUCCGCCUGUCUGCAUUAUACAUCCAUUGCCGGUCCAUCUGCAUCAUAUUACGCAUGAAAAUGGAUUACACUUGACAAUGGAUUACGCGUAAAAAUCGAUUAAAGAUCCAAACAAUAUGGUACAAUACAACAACAUGAAGAUCCAAAUAAACAUAUUUAAAUUAAAGUCCCAAACAACAUGAUACAAUACAACAAGCCAUCCACUGGUUAUUAUCAAGGAGGACUUUAAGCAUCCUUGGACGGUGAAGACGAAGGUUCCGCUGACCCAACCUCAUCCUUAGGUUUAUUUGUGCCGCCUGAAACGGUAGUACUAAGUGGACGUGAAACACCCGGGACUGAGGGUGGAGCAUAACGACCACCAAAAGGAGGUUCCUGACCCGCGGCAACAGCUUCUUCAUGACGUUGCUGCAAAUAACGAAGCAUUGCUUUUUCCAGCGCGCUCUUUUUCUUCGGCUUAUGCUGAGGGCCAACUAUGAUUGGAACCUUGCCAUAAUAGGAACCACGAUCGCCCCCACCAUCGCCACUUCCUCCAAUAGCAGAAGCCAUCUAUGUACAAAAAUUAUUAUCUUAACACUGCAUAAGUUGUUCAACUUGAAGACCGUGAUCAUCUCGCGAGGAUGUCCUCAACUGGGCGGCACCGCACUUCGUCAUGAAAGAGGUUAGAUGCUACGGAAAAGGGGACACGGUCACGAUGUCCGUAUCCACUCUUUCUCGUAGAAUCGAACCUCCUUCUUGACAUACGUUGCUGCUCGGCGGAAAACAUCCUCGGAGAGAUGAACACGGUAUGCAAGUUCAACAAGUAGCAGAAGUCAUCUAUGUACAAAAAUUCUUUCCUUACCACUACAGAAGUUGUUGAACUUGAAGACCGUGUUCAUUUCGCGAGGAUGUCCUCAGCUGGGCGGCACCACACUUCGUCAUGAAAGAGGUUAGAUGCUACGGAAAAGGGGACACGGUCACGAUGUCCGUAUCCACUCUUUCUCGUAGAAUCGAACCUCCUUCUUGACAUACGUUGCUGCUCGGCGGAGAACAUCCUCGCCGAAAUGAACACGGUAUGCAAGUUCAACAAGUAUGGAUUUAAAAAACCAUAUUGAAUUUGAUAAGAUAAACCGUCUAGACAAGGUAGCAUCAUUUUUAAACCACUGCAAUAAUGCAUACUAUAUAUGACACAUCAAUCUCCCUCACAUUCUAGCUCAAAAUACCUCUCCAUUUUUCUACUUCAUCAUCACAUUGUAGCAAAUAAUCUUUCCAUCUCCAAAGCAUAAAUCAAAGCAUAACACGAGGAUGAAGUAGCAAACCUUCGCAACACUUGUGUUGGCCGAGUGAAAUUCCCACGAAAAUGAGGGAAAAAACUUCGGGCAGCACCUUCCUUGCUUGCUUCGACACCACUGGAGAGUAGGUGAAGCUCAGCUCUCUCUGUCAAUGUGCUGGAUUGGCUCGGGCUGGAGGAGGAAGAAAGUCCUCUGUCUUGGCCGUAUAUAAUGGGGAUGAGUUUUUAUCCCGGUUAAAAACUCCAACCGAGACAAAAAGGAACACCUUUUGUCCCGGUUGGAAGUUUAGUCCCGGUUGGAGGAUCCAACCGGGAUAAAAGGUGAACCCUUUUAUCCUGGUUGGAGGCACCAACCGGGACUAACCUUUUUAUCCCGGUUGGUGCCUCCAACCGGGAUAAAAGGGUUCACCUUUUAUCCCGGUUGGAUCCGCCACCGACGCCCUCCAGCUAGCCGUUGCAACCGGGACUAAAGGGAGUAAAUCUCCCCUCCAAUUUUGCCUACCGUGGCGCACCCCCUUUUGUCCCGGGCCAACUUUAAACCGGGACAAAAGGGGGCGGAUCGAAAGCCAAUUCUCUACUAGUGUGUGGAUACGGCCUCACGGUCUCCUCAUCAUCCUUCAAUGAAGAAAGUGUAUAUAAACGUACUCAUUCUGUAUAUUCGACGACCUAGUAUCGUAUACCUCCCAAGUCUUUGCCUGAUAAUUAAGCACGUGAUCAAGUUGGCUUUACAAAGUCUCGUUAGCAGUAGCUUAAUACAUAAUUAAGUUUUCUUAUUGCCCGUACGUCUUGUUCGAUGUGCAACAAGUCCUGCCGUACGGUGCUUUUAGUGCAAAUUUAAUUAAAUAGAUGCCAAUUGCUACGCUUGAAGGAUGAAGGACAACACACACAAGUGGGCCACCUGCAGCUUGUCUUCACCAUCACAUGCUCUAACUGCAAAGAUAAGUACUUAACACACUAUACUAGCUAGUAUACUACACUAGCAUGUGUUGGAUGAUGUAAGCAUGCAGUCUCUGGAUGAUGCAACUAAAUUAAUUUAUAUAUGUCCGGUAAUUAACGUUGUGUUUAAAUUUUUUCCGUGCCGGCAAAACAAAGUGUCUCCAAAAGGUAUGUCUUUUAGUCACCGUCACUGUAACUGAAUUCUUUGCGUAGUUUGCUGUUGCUUAACUGCACACAUAAACCAGUUUAACAUUCAAAUGAGCCAAGGGCAUCUUAAUUAGCAUGGUAAUUUCAUGUCGACUUGGCACUUUUGGCAACAUGCAAGACUUUUCUUGGUCUUGAUUCCGGAGCCACUACUAGCGCACCCGAUCAGUGGGCCUCGCAAUUCUAUGCCAAAUCACGUGAUAGAAUGCAACUAGUUAGUACUAGCCUAUAGCACAAAACUGAAUUUGAUGCCUUGACAUAGGAUUAGUUUACACCCAAUAAUCCCAAGCCCGAGGCGCGCUAGAUCCAACCACCGGAGGUCGCGCCGUGCUCCACGCCAUGCCGCACCGGAUCCGGUCCUGAAAGCCACAUCUCCACCGCCCAAGCGCCGAGACCUAGGGCGCCUCGCUCUUCCUCUCCCUAGCAGUUGGCCGUGCCCUAAGCCCGCCGUCCCCCGCCACACCUAGCAGUUCAACAUUCAAAUGAGUGAUUUCAUGCCUACUUGGCACUUUUAGCAACGUGCAAGACUUUUCAUGGUCUUCGAUUCCGGAGCCACUACUAGCGCACCCGAUCAGUGGGCCUUGCUCUAACUAGUUAGGUUGAGUGUUAUUAGCAGUUUCCAUUGACAUGAUCACCUAAUCUGGCAGCUAGCUAGAACGUGCGUGAAGUCAGAGUUAAGUAAGGUACAGACACAGUUGCUUUUCAAAAAGCAACUUCUCUGCAAAUAAUCUUUGAUGACUUCACCAAGUCAACGUCUUCGUAUUAGUUGGACGCAUUCCACUUGCAAGGUACUAAGCACUCAUCUCUAGUGCAAAACUCAGGUAUCAUUGCUGCUAUCAAUGAUCCCUGCUUGUUUAAUUGCUCUCUCUCUCUCUUUUGACCUUUUCCAUGUCCAAAUGCUCCACAUGCUUGGCCUGCAAGAGGGCACUGCUAGGAAUGUGGACUUAUUGAAGGGACAUGUUUACCUCGGCCUUUCCACUGAACAAUCAUUUUCAUGGAAAACCCCAAAAGGUGUGGGUUUUGUUAAGUCUAAAAUGAACCAACUAAAGAGUUAGUAACCAUUAAGAAUAGUGUUGGGGAUCGCCCAAAAGAUCAAUCACCCUCGAAAUCAUUCGAAACAAGGUCUUGUACUUGGCUCUGCAUUAUGCUUAACCUCGAAUGGAAUUCCCCAACCUCAGAGGGAAAACACAGUGCAAAGAGGCAGAUUCAGCCCGAAGCCAAGUGGCCUUAACCGCUCCUUAGGUUGAUUGAUCCUAACCUCGAGCACCCGAAGCUAACCCUAUGUGCCAAGUUGUCUAUUAUCCUAUGCAGGUUCACCUCUUUUGGUCUGGAACCAGAACGCAAAGUUAAACGUGUCUUGGUCAUGAGGCCUAGGCGGACCAGACUCUCGAAGCUUGCCGACCUCGGACGCUUGGUUGGAGCCCUGAACGCGAGGUUAGAAGGCAUGGAGGCAUUGAAGCGGUCAAGGUGGGAAUCGCGGAGCCUUGUGAGUGCGUGAUUUGCGGAGCUGUCGGGCAGCGUAAGAAAUGUGAUAUCCAAAUGACUUGCAUGUAAAGCAUAUUCUGAGAAUGUAGUUGUUCAAUGGGGGCAAAUGUGUAAUGCCAAGUACCUCUCAGGACACUAUAAAAUUAAAGGGGAACCAUCCCGUUGUAAAUUUUACGCUCACUCUUGUAUACAGUAAGACCAAGGAGGCUUAUUGCGCUCCGUUGUGACAAUUCUUGGCCGAAGUUAAGACCCAACAAAUACAACAUGGAAGUAAGGUGUCAGCCUUGGUAGAGAUUUAUGUCCCAAAGCUUACUUCGAUCACUUAAGGACUGGUUCACGGGCAAGUCUUUCUAGUGAAAUGUACAACCAUAUGUGCCAAAAAAGUACAGCCUUCGAGAGUGACUAUUCAUGUAAGGCCUUCAUUUAUACCCUGCUAACUGAAUCUAGAAAUCCAUCCCAAGGGGCCACGGGUAGGCAACAGAUAUACUAGAACAAGUCCUUCACAUAGUAUAUCUGGGGAAAGGAGAAAAGUGGGAGGAGAGAGAGAAAAGUGGGAAGGGUAGGGGGGUAAAGAGUACCCUAUAAGCAAAAUAAGCAGCUCCAAACUUGCUUAUUUGCUUAUGCAAAAGCAACUUAUAAGCAAGUCUAUAAGCAAGGGUGUUUGGGUUAUAAGCAACUUAUUUGCUUAUUUAUAAGUUGCUUAUUUAUAAGCAAUGGUAACCAAACAGACCCUAAAGCAACUAAUCAAGACGGCGGGCUCUACGAUCAAAGCUAGUCGAUCGUCUCCGUGGUACGCCUUCAUCGUGCCCCGAUGAUGCACACAUUAUGUAUUAUUUGUGUUCACUGAAUUUAAUUUCUUCCGCUGAGAAGAAAGCAAGUGUAUCGGAAUCUUCAUCUCGCUACCUAGCAUGCGGAUUCAUACCAACUUUAUGCAUGUGCAGUUGAUUUCCAAAUACAACAUAUUUUCUUUCUAGCCAAAUAUGGCAUACCAAAAGGUUGGUUUGGGGGUGGGGGGAUCCUACCCUGGUGAUGCUUGGCCAUUUGGAUACUACUGUGUUACUAUUAGGUAGCUCGAUCAUAAUAUCCAUGUCUCACUAGUAGAGAAUUGGCUUUCGAUCCGCCCCCUUUUGUCCCGGUUUAAAGUUGGCCCGGGACAAAAGGGGGUGCGCCACGGUAGUUGACUUGCAUGUAAAGCAUAUUCUAAGAAUGUAGUUGUUGAAUGGGGGCAAAUGUGUAAUGCCAAGUACCUCUCAGGACACUAUGAAAUUAAAGGGGAACCAUCCCGUUGUAAAUUUUACGCUCACUCUUGUAUACAGUAAGACCAAGGAGGCUUAUUGCGCUCCGUUGUGACAAUUCUUGGCCGAAGUUAAGACCCAACAAAUACGACAUGGAAGUAAGGUGUCAGCCUUGGUAGAGAUUUAUGUCCCAAAGCUUACUUCGAUCACUUAAGGACUGGUUCACGGGCAAGUCUUUCUAGUGAAAUGUACAACCAUAUGUGCCAAAAAAGUACAGCCUUCGAGAGUGACUAUUCAUGUAAGGCCUUCAUUUAUACCCUGUUAACUGAACCUAGAAAUCCAUCCCAAGGGGCCACGGGUAGGCAACAGAUAUACUAGAACAAGUCCUUCACAUAGUCCCAGAUCCGGUCAGCACAGGUUGACUGUGAGAGGGUCAAAGACCCUAUUGAUAUAUUUGCUUUAUGCGCACUUUCCUGGGGUAAUAUUCGUGAGGCAGAUGAGAGUAACCCUUGUUUGGAUCCCAGUAUAUAUGCGGAUGGACCUAGAUGAUAUUGUGUAGAGAUAGACACUGGUAGGUACGGGUCUCGUAUGUACCGCCUAAAGCUACGAUAUGGACUGACCUAAUGUGUGUGUACAGUUUACAAACUCUGCAGAGUCAAUAAUCUAUCUAGGAGCUGAGGCUCACAGUCACUAGCUCACAUAGUUAAAGCUCCCAUUGAUCAGCAAUCAUGUGUUUACAUAACUUGGGUGUUAGUGAGGAAGGGCUAAGGCCCUAAGAGAGUUACUUUAGAAUUAGGCGUAAGCCGGCCUAGGAGGACGGUGGCGGUCUCUGGUACUCUUUAAAGCAUGGGAACUGGCAGGGGCGGAUCCAGGGCCCGGGCUGCUCGGGCUGCAGCCCGGGGCGAGACCAUGAAGUCCCUUUAACCUAUGUGCUGUUUAGCCUAACAAAAUGAGGCUUAGGAGACAAAAUUAGACUAUUUUAGGUGUGAUUCAACAGCUCAGCCCGGGGCGCAGUCCCAUUCUGGAUCCGCCCCUGGGAACUGGUAGGGGAGGUAACAUUCCCUUCAAGAGCCAACAACUUCAUAAAAGUGUUUGCUUCUUUUUCUUUUCCCAAAACUCACAUCAACUUGCAUAAAAUGAGUUUCUUGAUAAAACCAAACCUCUUGUACUUUUCCUUGACAUCCCAAAACUCACAUCAACUCUUGGAAGUUCUUGUGGAUACGGUCUCACGGUCUCCUCGCCAUCCUUGAAUGAAGGAAGUGAUGCACUUAUAUGAACGUACACAUUCUCUAUAUUCGAUGACCUAGUAUCGGAGACCUCCCAAGUCUUUGCCUGAUAAUUAAGCACGUGAUCAAGUUGGCUUUCCAAAUUCUCGUUAGCAGUAGCUUAAUACAUAAGUUUUAUUAUUACCCGUACGUCUUGUUCGAUGUGCAAAAAGUCCUGCCGAACGGUGCUUUUAGUGCAAAUUUAAUUAAAUAGAUGCCAAUUGCCACGUUUCAUAGUAAACCAAAAAAAACUUGCUGAAGUUAGACACCACACAAGUGGGCCACCGGCCUGCAGAUUUUUUAAAGGAAUACAUGGGAAGGAAUCUUUUCCUUUUCAGAAAUGCAUGUACAAUAGCAAUGGGCUUUCUAGUUGACCAACCUAGACGUAUCGAGCUCUGUCAACAUCAUUAAUUUAGCUAGAUUUAAUAAACGAAGUUUCCUCGCAACCAUGUUUUGACACCAUCAACCUAAAUCGUCCAUAAUACUAAAGACUGUAAAUCAUAUGACCCGCGCCUAUAAAUAGCCACGCCGCCGGAGCGAAUUGCAAAGCAUGAAGCGCCUUGCAGCCAUGGCAGCACAAGUGCUGUGGUUUCUCCUUACUCCUACCGUAGCAUUUUCCUAUCUAAUUCCACUGCCGCCAUUGGUGGCAGCAGCCUCCGGUUCCAACAUAGCGCCACCACCACCGGUGGUAGCAGCUCCAAGGCCGGGCUGCCCUAGCAUGUGCGGCAAUGUAAGCAUUCCCUACCCAUUCGGCAUCGGGGACGAAUGUGCCUUGGGCUCGGACUUCGCCAUCACUUGCAACCAUAGCUUUAACCCUCCAAGACCGUAUGGAGGCAAUUUUGAGAUCAUCAGCAUCUCGUUGGAGGCCGGCGAGAUGCGUGUCUUCUCCCCCGUGGCCUACAUCUGCUACAACUCAUCCAACACCACUGAUUCAACCGGAGUCAUCGACUGGACAUUCAACUUCUUCACAUUUCUUAUCUCGCCGACGCGCAAUGUCUUUACAGGCAUCGGCUGCGACACGUGGGCGUAUAUGGAAGGCAGAGAGGAUUCCAGCUUCUUCACUGGCUGCAUCACCACAUGCAACAGCUUGCAUGCCGCGGCUCGAGACGGCGAGGAGUGCGCGGGGCUUGGCUGCUGCCAGAGUUCCAUCCCGACCAACAUCUCCACGAUACACAUCUACUGGGAGAGAAACAGCUCAAAUAAUGCAUGGAGAUACAGCCCCUGUAACUACGCUUUCAUCGGGGAGAAAGGCCGGUAUGUAAUACCACUAACUUAAAAAGUCCAAAUUAAACUACACAGCCCCUGUGUAUUAUGAUGGCCUAUCUUAUGUUCUUAACUUGUCAAGAUGAACUUUGAUAUUUUGUUAUUUAUUGUAAGGUACCACUUCAAACAGAGAGACCUCAUCACACGUGUUGCAGACAAGACCUUUACUGACCGUUUUGGAGACAGAAGCAUCCCUAUGGUGCUUGAUUGGGCCAUCAGGGAUGGUGUGUCUUGCCAGGCACCACCAAAGGAUGCUGGGGCGUCGGCUAAACCGACAGCUCCCGCUUGCAUCAGUAGAAACAGCUUCUGUGUUAACGCCACACAGGGACCUGGGUACGUCUGCAAUUGUUCCAAGGGCUACACGGGCAACCCCUACGUCACCGAUGGCUGCACAAGUUAGUAAAUUUUAUUUACUCUUCGUAUAUAGUCUGUAUUCGUUUUGCAUAAAUAAGCAUGGCAUUUUUAAUCAUUAAAGGAUUUAUUUGAGGGAUAGGAAAUGGUUUACUAGGAUUGUUGGAUCCAUUGAAAGGCUUAUUAGAUGCCUUGUAUAUUGCUCAGUGGCAUGCUUGGCGUCAUGACCUUGAGCCUUGCAGUCCAAGCAUACCGAUUGGCUCGUGUCAUGCUCUGCUCCGUUUUAUCGGUAUCGUCCCUUGUUGAUUGAGGUCCCUGCUAUUGUUUGCAGGUCCAAACUAAAAACCUGCAACCGUAAACCUGCACACUUUGACCGUAUAAACUGGGCUGGUUGGAGGAAGGGAGGCCUUGUUUGGAAGGGGGUGCUAAAACUUUAGCACCCCACUUCUAGCACCAUUUUAGGACUUGUGUUGCCAAACAGAUGUGCUAAACGUGGGGUGCUAAAGUUUAGUCCCCGUCUCCUUUAGCUCCUCUAAGGGGUGUUAAAAUGGGCUAAAAGUGGUCCCAAGGACUAUCUUUGCCUGGUUGCCCACCCCCACCCCCCCUCUCUCUCCUCCGCCAGCAAAUCCGCCUCCGCCCGACCCCUCUCUCUAUCUCCUUCGCGCCGCACUCCGCCUCCACCUUGCCGCCCAACCCGUGUUCUUCGGCGGCACCCCUGCCACCAGAUCCGGGGCGGCCGGCUAGAUCCUCGCUCCCCAUCCUUGCAACGCGGGCCUAACGGGCCAGACGCUGGAUUCGAGGCGGCCGGCGACGUGCUCAUCGCCGGAGGACAUGGAGAACAGCUGGGCUAGCGCGCCGCGGUGGGGGCGUCCUUGGUUCCGCAACCUCUUUUUCUACGAGUCCACGAUGAUCUUGUCUCCGAUGGCGCCGCAGCUGGGCGGGGACGUGUGGGAGUAGGUAGAGCAGUUGGCGUCCGUCAAGCACGGCACCAUGCUGGGCCAAGAACAGGCUGGUGGCUGUAAAACCCCGUCCUCCAAAGCCGCACCAUCCAGCCCUUCUGAGGGGCGGACACGCAUACACAUAGCACCCUGCUUACACUUUCGUCCUCGCUUCAUAUAAGAGGGUUAACCCGAAGGUGCUAUGGCUUGUUGAUGAAGGCUUAUAAGUUGGUCCCACCCUUGCUCAACUAGCAAUGUUGUACUAAACAUGCGCGCCUACGCUCAUAGGCCACACUGGGCCAACCAAAUUGGGCCGGGUGUCAUAUUCACCCCCCCCCCUCAAAAAACCCGACAUCCUCGUCGAUACCGUAUGUGUAGUGCCGGCACCACAUGCCAUGCCAUGUGUCCCAUCCAGAACCCACACGAGCCAUGCGCCAUAUGCCCGCAUACAGACCCGUACGCGCAACCGUGAGUGCCGGUACAACUCACCCACACAUGGGAAAAUGUCUAGGAACGUUCCAUCUUAGUGCAUGAUUGUACGCCCAGUGAUACCCGCACACUGACCCGUAUGCGCAACCACGAGGGUCAGCUCUGAUACUAUUUGUAACACCCCGUCCUCCAAAGUCACACCGCCCAGCCCUUCCAAGAGGCGGGCACACGUACACAUAGCACCCUGUUUACACUUUCGUCCUCGCUUCGUGUAAAAGGGUUAACCCGAAGGUGCUAUGGCUAGUUGACGAAAGCUUAUAAGUUGGCUCCACCCUUACUCAACUAGCAAUGUGGUACUAAACAUACGAACCUGCGCUCGUGGGCCACAAUGGGCCAACCAAAUUGGGCCGAGCGUCACAAUGGCGUUCGUCGGUUUGAGGGGGAAGUACCCGCGAUGGGGGCAGUUCGUGGUGGCGAAGUGCCGGAUGGACCCGCGAGGCCUGUUCAACGGCCCAUUGUCCGACGAGGUCAUCGGCGGGGUGGAGAUGGAACCGGUGGUGGCGCCGCUUGGAUGUGGAGGGGGCACGAGGGAGGAGAGGAGACCGUGGGAGGCACCCGUGUGCAGCGGAAAGGAGGGAAGGAGGGGUACACGUGUCUUUUGUAAAUCCUUUAGUCCCGGGUCAAAAAUCAGCCACCCGUGGGAGACCCUUUAGUUGCGGGUUAAAAAAUCAGGCACCUGUGGGAAACCCUUUAGUCCCGGUUGAGUGACCCGGGACUAAAGACCCCCCUGUCUUGAUUGCUUUAUCCCAGAUGGAUUUUCACGAGAUUUGCUCCCUACCAACCAGGACUAAAGGGGACUUUUCCAUGGGUGAAUCUGCAGGUUGUCAGCCCUUCAGAGUUCUCAGGCCUUCAGCGUUUCAGUGUCAUGUUGCCAUGCUGUGAGUGCCGACCCUAGAAUCUUCAAGCUAGCUGAUAUAAUCUUAGUUGGAUAUCGAUAGUAGCAAUCACGCGGAGUGUGGAAAACGUUAGCAUUUCCUUCGUUACCGUAUAUAUAAAUUUCUUCCAGUUUCCGUAGUUUUCUUCUACACCCGCUGGUGCCAGUUUUCUUACAGCUAUAUGUGCUUACAUAGUCUAGUGAACUGGGGAAACAUAAAAUUCUUAGCCUACAGCUUCCACAACUCUUCAUAAAAUAAAUUAGACCCGGCUGUCUAAAUAUACACAUAAAGUUCAUCUAGUGUACUUGCACCCACCAAAUACAUGUUUUGCAACCUAGCUAGAGAUAAACCUCGUAAGAUACUACUAUACAAAUGUAAAGGCACAUAAGAUUGCAAAAAGUAGUCACAAGAACUUAGGAAUGAGCUAGAGGAUGCAAACUCUCGAUUUUACCUCAUGGUAUUGGUAGUCAAAUGCUACCCCUAGUCCACGUUGGACUACAACCAAAUUAAGGAUAUGCUCAAGGCCACCAAAUCUCUCCCGGUAAAAGUUCUGGACUUGUCAUUCAUGUUUCUUCCAAGAUGGAUGAGGAGCAUGCCAUAAAAGGCAAGUGACAAUUCUCUCUUCUGGUCACAUUGUCAUUGUCUUCACUACAAAGCUUCUCCAAAGAAGGAGGUAUCCUUGUUAAUCGCAACCACUCCACACCAAGCCAAAGGUUUGACAAAGGUUCCGGUGAGCCAUAAGCCCAAAUGGUGUCGGUGCACCAAGCUUACAAAAAUGAUUCACCUCCUUGAACCAAGCAUUAGACAUCAACACCUCCAAUUUCUCUCUAUAGGCAUAAUCUAGCACUAAACACACUCUAAACAUGUGCUAGUUAAUUGCCUUGAAUGAUCAACUUAGCACCUUGGUAACUUGGAUAUGCCUCUAGUGUAUCUUGGAAUACCUUUGAAUUCAGCACACUCUAGGGUAUGUGCACCCACGCUUCAACCACAUAGCCAUUGGAAAACAUAAUACCCAAAGCUAUAGCCAGUUUCUCUCGUUAAGCUUGAUAUCUCUCGUUAAGCUCCAGUCGUUAUAUACUCCAAUGUCUCCAUCUAGCCUUCGAGUUUUAGCUGCUUUCUUCACUCCAAACCAAGCCGAUCUCAUUUCUUUCAUCCGUUGCCUUGAUUUCACUACCGGUCGGAUCUUACAAUCACCUGUUCUUCUCACACGGAUCAUGUUUCAUAGCUCCGAUCAAUUUUUCUGGUCGGCCAUUCUAUCUUCAAGUCAUAACUUUGAAUCAGGACAAAAGUUUGCAAUUUGCACAUGUUUGUUCGGGCGAACUCCGGUCAGUGCUUCAAUGCACCAAAGCAUCAUCCGAUCACCUUUGAGUGCAAUGCCUUGAGAAAAUUCUAUCUCAUACAGGUGACAUUAGUAAAUAAAUGCAUACAUAGUUGCUUCGUAUAUGCGGGCUAGGGUUUGGUUUAUCAACUAGGUGGAAAAAACUUUCUUUUAGAUUUUCAUGUAUUAUUAGUUGAAGUUUAUGUGAAUGUCUUUUGCAUCUUAUUGUAUACAGAUAUCAACGAAUGUAGCAGUACAACGAAUGGUCCUUGUGGCAUGUAUAGCACAUGCGAGGAUACAGAUGGUGAUUAUAAUUGCAAAUGCAACUUGAACCGGAAAGGAGAUGGUAAAAGUGAAAAAGGAUGUUAUCAGUAUGUAUUUGCACCAUAUGCUAUUGCUGCCGUAGGUGAGGCUCAUUAAAUACAGCACGCUCCUCUCUACCAUAUGCUAUUGCGUCCACUUUCGUAAGGGUUUAGUAAAAAAACAUUAAAGGACAUUUAACCUUUAUUUGUCGGAAUAUAUAAUCAGUUAUUUUUAAAUCAGUACAAUAUAUCAAAACCUCUUUGAAAUACAUAUAUUGUUAGCAUAAUGAUAGGAUCCCUGCUGGCUGAUUAACCAUUUCCGUUUGUUGCAAAAUGUCAGUCAUACAACCUAUUACUAUUUUUAUAAGAACAAACUUCUUCGGUUUUAAGAUUAAAAAAACUUUUACUUUAAAGUGUAGAUAUGGAGUUGCCGUAACUUAACUUAUAUGUUAGUGAAUCACACAACAUGUAUCCUUAUUGUUUGCAGCAAUAACUCUUGUCGUCAUCCUAGCAUGUUUGUCAAUUAUUUUGCUUAUGAGACGAGAGCAGAGGAAACUUUUCAACAAAAACGGUGGCGACAUUCUAAAGGAGGUGGGUAUCAAAAUCUUCACCAAAGGGGAUGUGAAUACUAUCACAAAGAGCUACAGCAAUCGCAUUGGAAGAGGCUACUUUGGCGAUGUCUAUAAGGGGACCAUCAUCGACGAUCCCCCCCAAGCACUACAGGUCGCGGUUAAAUGCACUGUGGCGAAAAAGGUGGCACGCCUUCGGCAGAAGUCGCUGCGAGGUGAGGCGCCGCAGCACGAGCAGGAGAAGCUAUGGAAGGAAGGGUUCGUGAGGGAGAUCAGCUUCCAAUUCAAGGUUAAGCACCCAAACAUGGUCCGCCUCAUCGGGUGUUGUCUGGAAACGGAUGUCCCCAUACUAGUCUUUGAGUUUGUCGGUAAAGGAAGCCUCCAUGAAGUGCUUCAUGGUGCCAACAAGCUCACUCUCUCGCUGCCAAAGCGGCUUGACAUUGCCAUUGGUUCAGCAGAAGCUCUCUCCCAUAUGCACUCGCAUGGUGAUUAUAAACACGUCCAUGGCGACGUCAAGUCCGACAACAUCCUCCUUGACGACGACCUCAAUCCCAAGGUAUCUGACUUUGGGUCUUCCAAGCUCCUUUCGGUCAAGAGUUAUGCUAGGGACGUAGCUGCAGAUGGGAACUACAUAGACCCAGUGUACUACAGCACGGGACAUUUCACGGUAAAGAGUGAUGUCUACAGCUUCGGUGUCGUGCUCCUUGAGCUCAUCACAAGGAAGAAGCCUAGGUAUGGCAGUAGCGAUGGUAACAUUCUGACCAUAGACUUCAAGAAGUCCAUCAAGAACCACAGCAAUGCACGGGAGAUGUAUGACGCAGAGGUCUUAUCCGAUGACAAUGCUCAAUCUCAUCGCUACAUGGAGUGCCUUGACAUGGUCGGUGCGCUCGCGGUCCGAUGCCUCAGUGAAGAUGCGGAUGAGAGACCAACCAUGGCAGAGGUGGUGGAUGAGCUUAAUCAAGUAAAGUCGAUAGCCUGCGGGAUCGGAGCUCAUGCUCUGACCUGAGUUGAAAGCAGCAUAUGAAGGAAACAAAUUAGGUACGAAUGGUCAUGGCUUGAGCUUAUUAGCAAUCUCUAUAUCCAUUAAUUAUAAUUGUCAAGUUGAAUGUAAUAUAUAGCUAUGGACGUAGAAAUGAGUAAUUUUAUUUUCCUGCAUUUGUUUUAAUAAGGCUGCUUAUUAUUAAGCUGCAUGUAAUUGUGCACUGGUUUAAUUCAGGGAACUUUGUAUGUCUACUAUGCGGGCUGAUGCUUCCUCACAGAAAGAUAUUAAUUCUGUUAAAAUAAACAUGAAUAUUACUUGGAGGAUGUGCAACCAUGCAAAACAUGUACUCCCAUGUCACAAUAUAUGUUUAUCUGUAAUUCUAUGAGAGUAUGGCGGCAUAUAGUAAUGCUCUAUCACAAUACCCGACUGGAUUAAACCAGGGUUCUAGGAUUCGGUCUGAAAUCCAAAAUGAAACCAAAUCGGUCAAAAAAUUCUACCAAAGUUGAAUUUUUCUACCAUUACUUAAAUCUAUUGUCACACCCGGUUUUAAAACAAAACCAUGUGCUACCUAUAUGUAUGCCAGGAUCUAGUUCCAUAUAUAUAGGUAGCACUUGGUUUUGUUUUAAAAUCAGGUGUGACAGAAGUGUUAUCAGAGCUGUAUCGACUGUAGGACGUAAGCCUAGAUAGCAUUGGUCUCUUCCUAAGGUCUGUUUUACCAUAAAAACAAUUCCUGCCUUAUCCUUGACCUCUCUGAUGACUAUUUUCACUCCUUGAACGUAUUAUCUACACCUUGAUUGCUUAUUUCUGAACAACCUUGACUCUUAGUCUUUUACCCCCUCUUUGUAAUGCUAAACCCUCAAUCUUUUCAAUUGACUUACUCCCUCUUUGAAAAAAAAACUUAUUUUUUUGCUACUCGCACCUUGUCAACUAUCUAUGUUGUUUUUGCUAAAUCCCUAACCCUUGUAUGUUUAUUCUUCCUCAUUGAUGCCUAUUUGACUUUGAUUAUACAUCUUCCUUGAUGAAUGACUUUCCCUAUUCCAAGCAUCUCACCUCCUUUUAAUUUGUUGGUGAAAUUGCUUACACCUUACUCCUUGAUAUUUUUUAUUUCUUACUUAUCUUUUAUGCAUAUCUCCUCCUUGAUUUUGUUUCCAACAUAUCCAUCAUUCCCCGUUGUACCUCUCCUUGCUUUUCAAAUAAUAUCACUUUGGAUUCUUCCCUUGAUUUUGAUUCCAAAGUAUCUUUUCUGAUUUAAAAAUGUUUAGAUGAUCUGUGUCACCUUUCCUAAAACCCAUCGAAGUCAUCUGAAGAAUGAAGCUACUAGUUCAUCACUAGAAGUCAAGCCUCAACAACCGAAGAAGUAAUCCCUUCAUAGGAGUACCCCUUGCAAACCUCACUAACAACGAUUAGCUUUUGUUCCUUAACUGUGUGUUGAUUGGUGAAGUUCUGUGUGUUGCUUGAUGAUGUUUGUCUUGAUGACCUUGAUUGAGUUGGUUCUUUGUAUUGAUUGUUGAUGUAUUGUGGGUCUUCUACCUGCAAUGACAUCAGUUGUCUAGUUGGGUUCUUCUUUUGACCUCCCACCUCUGUGUUAUCCUCCUUUCUUUCUACUCAAACCAAUGAAGAAGGUCGGAAGAAGGAAACUGAAGUCAACACCAACGUUAACAAGCAAGUGUUAACAUCACCACCACCAUCUCCCUAGAAGCAAGUUGAAGAUUUGAGGCUUUACUCUGAUCUCCCUAACCUUACUCUAAUGAAGAUUACAAGAACCAAGAUGAUGAAGAAAACACGAAGAUUCUACUCGACAAACAAAGAUGAAAGACUAUCUAUUCUAAUAAUCUUGUUUUCUCCCUCCUUGUUUUUCUUUCUUCGAAUCUCGGGACGACAUUCCUGUUGAGGGGGUAGUGUUGUCGUACCCUGAAAUUUUCAAAUUUCAGGAUAUGAUUAAAAAAGGAUUAAUUAAUCAAUGAUUUUAUAUAAUUUAAAAUUUUUCCUAACAUUUAUUUUCAUUCACAGGAAAUUUCGUAUAGGAAAAAUAAUUGUUUGUCUUUUUUGAAAUUAAAUAAUGUUGUUCUGUGUCUGUGCAUUCAUGCCGAUGCAUCUUAGUAUUUCUUGAGUGAAAAAAUUUUAAAAAUGCGUUUAGAUGUUGGCUAGACCCUUCUGAGAAUUUUUCUAAUUUUUUUGGAAUUUAUUCUCCUUUUCCUUGAUCUUAAUUCAAUUUUGGAUGGCUCUAGAAUCCUUUUCCCAAGCUCGAAAUAUUUUAUUUGGAUUCCUUGUGUCUCAAAAUAUCUCUGGGAUUUUUCCUAGAAUUUUUGGGAUUUUCAGUAUUUUUCGUGGUUUACAAUAUUUAUCUAGAAUUUUCUGGAUUUAUAUUCCCACGUACAAAUAAUUUCUGAAAAAUGAUCAAAACUUUCUUUUCCUUUCGGGGCGAGCUCGCACCUGCGAAUCCGGCCCAUCUCCUCCCUUCCUUUUCUUUUUCUCUAGCAGGCCGCCAGCCCAGCAACUUUCAUCGGCCCAAAACACCAUUGGCCCACCUCUCUCCUCCUCUCCCUGCUCUUCCACCGGCCCAACCUCCUUCUCUCUCUCCCCUUUCUUUUUUUUCCCAGCGGCCCAGCCAGGUGACGCUAGCCCACCUCCCUCGGCCCAACAUCUGGCCGGCCUGCCACUUAUUCCACCUCCCUCUCUCACUCACCGACAGGUGGGGCCCACCUGUCGGGCUUCUUCCAUCUCCCGACGCCAAGACGCCGCACGAUGCUGCACGGAUGGCGCCGUCCCUCCCAGCGCCUCCUCGCCUCCACCGGCGUCCUUCCGGCUUCCCGCGCCCCUACAGCUCCUGCGUCGCCCACUCUCCCUGGUCUUCCCUUCCAUUUUCCCUCCCAUCUCUAGAAACGAACGCCACCUCCUCCCACGAUUCAUGGCCGGCGCCCGUUUCCUCAAAUAGCGCCUCCUCCACUCCCUCCAAGGCCUAUAAAGCCGCCAUCGAACUCAUCCGGUGCUCUCCUUUCCGUUUCACCGCUCAAUCGCCGCCCUAGUGCCCGGCCAUCGUUCCUUUGUCGCCACCGAAUGCCGCCGCCGCAUCUUCCUAUCCACCGCCACCCAAAACGCCAGCGCCGCCGUCACCCGCAUCCCUGGCGCGGCUGCCGCUGCCGCCGGCUUGGCCGUCGUCGGCUUGACCGCCCCCGGCCGGAAGUCCUCUCCCGAAUAGCCCCUGUGCGCCGGCGAAGCGGCCGGUCGUCUAGCACCCCUCCCCCUGAGACCUCUGUCUUGGUUGAAGAAGAAGGAAUUGAAGGAAGGGAUAAGGUUGUGCUUUUCACCCUAGCCCCUGAAGUUUCAUUUAUUUUCUCAUGUAUUCCUUGUGCCUUCGAAAUUCUGCAGAAAAAACCCCUGAACUUAUCAAUACCUUGCAAUCUGACCCGAACCUUGCCGUUUUGCAGAUCUACCCUUCAAAUUUUAGAAUUUCACAAGCAUGUGCCCUGCUUCUUCGUAAACUUCUUUGCUACCCCUUGUAAUCUACGGUAAUCGCGUUUAGGUCCCUAGAACUUUGUUUAGCCCGUAGUUUCCUCGUUUUAGCUCCGUUUUGAUCCGUUCAAGUUGCGUUGCGCUCAUCAUGACAUAAAAUACACGUUAGUAGUGUUGUCAUAUUACAUUUCAUGCCUUUUAAAAUAAAUUUAGUAGUAAUUGAUUAAUGCCUAAUAAACGUUCUUUUCAAAAUAAAAGUCACCAAAGAGCUAUACACCGUUUUUCAUAAUGAAUAUCAACUUGAUUAAUGAUUACUUCAUAAUCUUUCUAAAUAAAAGCCAAUUAGGAUAUACAUCGACUUUUCAUAGAGUAGAGUUAAUUUGAUUAACACUUAUCUAAUGUUUCUUCAAAUUAAAAGCUAUUUAGUGAUACCCCGGCUUUUCAUAAAUCAAAUUUGAUUUGAUUAAUAUUUAUUUAAUUUACUUUCUAAAUAAAAGCUACAUAGGUUAUAACUCGAAUUUUCAUAAAUAAAAGUUAAUUUGGUUGAUAUAAAUAUCAAUGUGUUUUUAAUAUAAUAUGCUUAGUUGAACUCAAAAUAUGAAGCUAUGCGCUUAGAUGUUCAUAUGUGCCUUAUUUUCAAAUUAAAUGUUUAAUUUGUAUAACUUAUACAUAAAUGUUUGCAAAUAAAAUUGGCCUGAGUUUCACACCGUGUUUUCAUAGACAAAUAUAAAUUGAUUAAUUCUAAAUAGGAUAUUUCUCUGAAAUAACCUAUGUGCAUGUUUUAUUUAAUUAAAAAGGAUCAAGCAUAUAGUCUUUUUAUUUCUUUGAUAAAUCAAACUUCUCAAUAGUUUCGAUCUUACGUUUGUGUGACCCAUAGAACGACCCUCGCCUUUAGUACGUUGUUUUAAAGCCUUUCUUUUGUUUUGGUGUAUUGUUCUUAGUUGUACUUGUUUGUUUGUUAGUGUCGAUGUUUGCUUCAAUUAGAAGGAUCGCCGUUCGAAGCUUUGAAGGUUAAGAGUUUCAAGAAAGCAAGAACCGAAGAGCAAUAAGAGUAGCUUUACGUUGGAGAAAGGCAAGUGUCCCUAACCAUCCUUCUACCUAUGCUUUGUUCACAGUGUUAUGAUAAUCUUAAUUGGAACAUGGAGAACCAUCCAAGAAAACAGUACAACCACAAUAUCACGUGGCUCUGAUCUUAGCCAACUAAUUAGGCAUGUGGUAGACUAGUGGUCUUACCGAAAGGGCAAGGAGGGGGAAGGUGUCGAUGGUAUGACCCGGAGCACUAGCCUUCUAAGGUGCUGACUCAUUACAACGGGUUGUGACCCACAUCGCUACUGAAACUCUAGCGGGCUACUAGUUAGCUAUGUGUCUUUGUAAAGGCUUCGUAGUGGACCCCCUAGCCACUCACCAAAGGAAGUGUUUAAGGGCUUUGCAAACCUGGGCAACACGGGGGACCACGAGUUGUGGGUAAAGUGUACAACCUCUGCAGAGUGUAAACUGAUAUAUCAGUUGUGCUCACGGUUAAGAGUGGCUUAGACCCUCACAUGAUUAAUUAAACUUGAAGAUGGAUUAAAUCGUAAUUCUAGUUAGUUCCUAUGGCCUUGCUGAGUACCAACCAUAAGUGUACUCACCCUUGCUUACUGCUGCUCAGAAGAAGAAGAUGCAAUGGAGAUGUUGUGAAGAUGCUGCUGAGUUCUAGGCGUACGCAACCCCCAGUUGAGUGCCUGUGAAGUUUGGAGCCUCCGUUUCUAGAGUUUAAGCUCUGUGUCUUUGUUAGUCUUGUAAGUCUCUUUUUGUAUCUUUUUACGUGAUAUUGUUACUGUUAAUCACUAAUGAUGUCACUAUAUGUAUGGAACUAGAUCCUGGCAUACAUAUAGUUAGCACUUGGUUUUGUUUUAAAACCGGGUGUGACAUCUAUACAAGCUCACAUACUCCCACUACUGCAAAAACAUAGCUUCGAUCCAAAGUCUUUAGUCCCGAAUGAUUUUGGACUUGGGACCAAAGAGCCUUUUGUCCUGAGUCAAAAAUCAGUCACCGAUGGCCACCAAUGGGGAGCUCUUUUAGUCCCGGUUGGUAAUACCAACCGGAACUAAAGAGCCCAUUUAGUCCCGGUUGUAAAAUUCUGACCCUCGGAAAUCUAGCGGGGCGUUUAGUUCCGGUUGGAAACACCAAUCGGGACUAAAGGAUCCCCAUUUAGUCGCGGUUGGAAUUAGCAACCCAGACUAAAGGGGGUCUUUAGUCCUGGUUGGAAACACCAACUUGGAGAAAACGUCCCCCCUCGGUCUACGCACCUAGCCUCGGAUCCUUAUCUUCUCUGAAUCCGCUCUCCUAACCACUUCUCCUCUCCUCCUCUUCUCUCUCCCGCCCGGCCACCUACCUCCCUCCCUAUCGGCCAUACAUCCUCGGGCCCAUCAGAAGACCUGCACGGACCCACUCAAGGGGACGUACUCGAGAUGUAUCAGAACAUGGAGACUACGAUACAGGCAAACAUAGGCUACAUGGACUCCUGAAAGACUAGUCGGAAUAUAAGGAAACUACUCUGCCGAGUUAGAGUAGGACUCUGUAGUCGUGUCCGUCUAGUACCCUUGUAGCAAAGACUACCUUGUAACCCUGCUUCCCCAGUAUAUAAGGGCGGGUAGGGAACCUCUCAAACAAGUUCAAUCCAAUACAAGCAUACAAACACACAGGACAUAGGAUAUUACGCGAUCUAGCGACCUGAAUCUGUCUAAAUUGCAUCCCUACGUGACCAUCAACUUCCUGAUUCCGGUGACACCCACCAACCAAAACUCAACCCCGGGUACUCCUGUGGUAGGUUGUCAGGUAUAAAACACUAACAGCUGGCACGCCAGGUGAUGACGACAUCACCAUGCUGGAUACACAUGAGCCUUGAUCUUCCUCAAGUUACAAGUCGUCACCGACUUGUCGCGUUCGGUUCGAAAUCAGCCGACUACUCUAGACGGAUUUGGCAAUAUCUCCUUUAUAUGACAUCGAAACAAGGUGUUCUUUGAUGUGUUGGAAAGAAGACAAUGAACACUUUCAUUUGGUUCUGGUCCUAGCUCCAGAAGCAUCAUGGAUCAUUCUGUGUGACCACAACAAGGUGAUGUGUCACCAGUUUUGGACAAAGUUGGCCUUAUAUCGUGUCGGGCCUUAAGCUCAAGUUGUGGUCGCCCCCAACCCUAGCUCGCCCCUUUUUUAUAUAAACUUAGUAGCAGCUGCCUUAGAAACUCGGGUUUUGUUUAGUUCUAGUUUUCCAUUGAGAAACUGAGAUUGAUUCAUUAUAACUCGGCGACAAGUCCUUUUACAGUGAUCCAGGGCCCCUAUUUUGUUCUCCUCCACUAUGUCGAUUAGUACUUUUGAAUUGAGAGCUUGAACCCAUAUUUAUCUUCACUUCAGAUAUAUUUGCAAUUUCAGAUUGUGCGUUUACACUUUCUUGCUUGUGUUCUUUGAUUCACUUGCAGGGAAAGCCUUCUUGGUGAGGUCAAUUGAGUUGUUCUUGGUUGAUAACCAAUGGAGCAGUGGUGUAGCGGUUGCAGGGAUUCGAAUCAUGUCUGAUUAGAAGCCCGGAUUGUCAAUGUCGAGUUCUUCACCAAUCAAAUUACCCCCAUACCUAUCAGAAGAUUGGGCCAGUCCUACAUCAAGUGGUAUUAGUAUUCCAGGUCACCCGUGAGGUAUAUUAUAGUGUUCCCCCCUUAGAUUCAGUUCAUGUUCUUUACCUAUAGUCCACAAAAAGCCCCCCAAAAAACACAUUUACACUUUCCACUGUCCUGUCGCCUUUUUAGCCUUUGCAAUCUUUGUUUUAGAUCCCCUUUGUUGAGUUCGUGUCCGCGGUCAAGUCUUAUUGCUGGUUUAGUGUGUUCGCGGUCGUAGUCCAACCGCCCAUCGCAGUUUCGUUUCCGCCGCUAUCCCAUCCAACUUUUCCAUACAACAAGUUGAGCCAUUACAUUACUUGACUUUGCCCCCGCUAGCUGCCUUGUGUGAAUUCUUGCUGCACAAGCCCUAGAUAGGUUGCAAGCCGCAGUGUGCCUUUUGCCUUGCAUUGCAACCAUACUUGAUUCAUCUGACAAUACCUAUUGCAUCUACCAGGAAAGAUUUUGCCGUUGGAUUGCUUGCUGAGAAGUCUUGCUCAGCCGUGAUCGGUGUUGGGAGGAUAGGGGAACUUUGCCCUAGCUGCCGCCGCUGCGUAUGACCUAUUGAGCCUUCAAAAAAUGCUGAUUCGGAGGCCCUUGCUUAAAACAGGCAUAACUAUGCUGGGUUUUGCAGUUCUCAGUUUUGCCAAAUUUGCUCUGGAAGUGGGAGUUCUCAAGCUUUAAAGUGGUUGCACGCUUUCCAGAGAACAUGCCUGAUUCUCUAUGGACCAUAUAGUACCUCCGUUUAAGCUGAAACUUUUUGUGGUUCCAUCUUGUGUUAUCUUGCGACAACCCUUAAGGGUCUGGCCCGUGCCAUCCGCCCUCGGCCUGCGGCGCCAGAUGCGAGCACGCGCGGGUGUUGCGGCCAACGGCAGUGGUGGCAUCCGCUGCGGGCACGCACUGGCAAGGUGGUGUCACUGUGAGGUAACCUGUGGUGGCAGCGUACGCUGCAGCUAUGGCCACGAGCGUAGGAGGUGCUUCGCGUGGGCCGGCCAUGGCUCCACGCGGAUAUGGAGCCAACGCCAAGACCACGCCGGAUGUUUGUGCAGGAUCCAUCUAGAUGGAAGGUACAGCAAGCUCCAGCGCUUGGCUGCGCUCAGAUCCGUCCUCCCCUAAGCUUGAUCUCGUGCUCCCACCCGGGGCUCCUCCCCCUGGUCGCGGUCUUGUGGCUAGCGGCUGGUCGGAGCUCUGGCGUGGCCUGGCCAAGGAUGCCCGGAUUUGGCCCAACAUGGGGCUUAGUUGCCGGAUCUGCUGUGGAGCUAGCUAGAUCCGGCCAAGUAGCAGCAGUGCGGUCACCCCCAAGCGCCCCCCGCUUGAGUCAGCCUAAUCUAGGUCGCCAUAGCUACCUUAAGCUCGUCAGCUAUCCAUACUAUGUGCGUUGGGGACGAUGGGCUUUGUGGCGAACGGCGCACGGUGCUGCAGCUGCAGCUGCAGUUUUGGUGACCAGUUUGAGUGGAAUUUGCAAAGAGAAAUCCUCUUCUAGUGUUGUGCUGGUUUUCGGCAACAACGACGCUUGUGGGUGCCGAUCUCCUCUGUGGAGGCAUUGUCAAGUUUUGUUCCAUGUAGGUGCUGGUGCAGCCAAGGUAGGUGGGCAGGAACCUACAGGGAGAAAUCCAUGCCAGGUAUUGCGCUGGUGCCGACAAUGGUGAUGCCUUCGGGUGCUGCUCCCCUCCAUGGAGGCUUUGUUGAGAUGCCUCAUGACCACUUGCUACUGCUGCUGCUUGCUUCCCAAUGAAACUGGUAUCGCGUCCUUCCCCUGCCAAGAUGUUGGUUGGUACUGCUGCUAAGGUCUGCCUCCCUGCACCAUUUUUUUAAGCUUUCACCAUGACCAGAAAUGUGAUUAUUGUCGGUAUCUCUACUCUAUCAUCAUCCUUCUUCCUUUAUUGUACUGUCUCAUCUUAUGUCGGGUUAACGGGACUAUGAUCCCCUCUAUUCGAUCUCCCCGUUCUCCCCUUGACGGCCCUUCCUCCUUUGUGGUUUCCUCCCCAGAAAGGACGUAGAAGGAUGUUGAUUGGAUCUUGGAUGGUCCUCCAAGGCACUGCAAUCAAGACUGUCGUUUGUCGGCAUCGGCUUUGACUCAAUGCUUCACAGUUGUGGAAUGGAGAUCGGCAAAGUAUACUUUAGUUUGAUGAUAAUACAGGCUAGUGAAAAGGCAUCUUGCCCUCAUUUGGUUGCAUGUGUUGGAUGUUUGAUCUUAAUCUUCCUUUCUAGAUUGGCACUGUGGGGUCUGUUUGGUCUUUUGUAACUGGUACCCCCUUUUUUUCCGUUUCCUCCCCUGAAAAUAGAAGUGUAACACUUUGGCCUACCAAAGGCCCCAAUAAUGCAAUCAGGUGGGGAUCUCCCCCGUUGAAUCUUAAAAAAACUUAAAUUGAGACAGAACUAGAAAGAGUGUCGGGACAUCGAGAGGUGCGUGGCCAGGGUCGCUUGGUCGCCGCGAUGUACCGACGCACCGCCAUGACCUGCCAACCAGUGAAGCAAGUGCAUGGCUGCGAGCCAUGUUGAUGAAUCGAGUGCCCCUGUCACUGAAUAAUGGAGCGAAUUGAUUGCCCUGGACUUGACCGCGUCAGAGCUUCACGAUUCUCACCAGAGGCGGCGGCGGCGUCAUUGAUGGAGAGAACAAAGCCGGAAGUGCUGACCCAGACCCAAGAAGGGGGUUGUAUGCAAAAAUUCGGAUCUUGAUCGAUAAUCACGGUCCAAUUUAGGGUGGAAUUUGUAAUUAAGUGGGCCUAAUUGCAAAUAUUCGGAUCGCGAUCCAAAAUACGGGGUAUGUGUAAAACUUCAGGGGCCAAAUUGAUAAUAACUGGAUGGAUAAACCAGGGUGUCUUCUGCAGAACAUUCAGGGCCAGCAGACAUGGCAUCCGGCGACGCCGCGCCACCGCCCACCGCCCGCCCCGUUGCUAGCUGACUGAUCCAUUCAUGUUAUAUUUCCCCUUAGGUUGCAAUUUCUGUAAUGCCUCUUGUACAAGAGAAACUAGUUAUAUCUUUCCACUCUGCUCUCCAAACUUUGCAUGAUGGUGCAGUUAGCAUCCAACAAAUGAAAAUUAGUUUGUGAUUUCCGCCUCACUGACUCAAAUAACUUUUGAAUUUGUAAUUGUGUAGCCUGCCUCAAUUUUUAUUUUUUGAAACGACAAACUAUAUUCAUUUGUAUGCACAUAACACAGGGUAUGAAUGUCCCCAUGUUUCAUUCACAGCUGUACAACUUUGUUUCUUCACAAUUGUUCUAUGCGAAAUCAUAUAUUGUAUAAAUCACAAUAUGUUGAAAUGAUGUUUUUAUGGUGGCCACCGACAGUGCAGGGUAUGUAGCUGGUGGACCUGUUCUGUUGGGUCCCAGCAAGACUGACUUCGGACCUGGAAUCAAGUACUCGUCUACGAUUCCAGAACAUCAUGUAUAUACGAGUAUGAGUCUACGAGUAGUGCCAGAACACAAAGUCUUCCUGUAUAUGUUUGCAACUUCAUCUGCCGAACUUAUCCUGCCGAACUUUUGCAACAAGACUGACAUCUGACUUGGGACACCCAGCAUACGUUUGCCGACUACGAUCAAACGCAGGCUCCGUCGUCUCGUGCGGGCGAAGCUAGCUGACCAGUCUGCGAGAGCGAUUCUUUAGUACUCUCUGCAGGGUCACGUAGAGUAGGCCCGUCCCUAGGGGGCGUGCAGACUGUGCGACCGUGAGGGCCUCCAUUUUUUUAGGGCCUCCAGUUUCCAGUGCUACAGCCAUCUGGCUCAUCAUUUCCUGACCUCUAAACCUUAUUUUCCUUAUUGCUGGCGCUCUCCUGAAGACCUGAACAGCCCAAGCGUCAUUCUCUGUCCAUGUCUGUGGUUCUGCGCCUAUUCAUCUCUUUGUCUCCUGAUCGGGAUGAAGAUUUGAGUAUUUAAAUCAGUCUCAAAAAAAGGGCUACAGCCUAUGGAUAUGUUUAUUAUAGAAUAUUCACAAGUGCCAUCCGAUAAAACACUUGAUCAUGGUUCUAUAAUUGAUAGUAAUAUUUACAAUGAUCCUAUAAAUAGUCAGAUAGACACCAAAACAUAAUUUUGAGGUUCAGUAAGAUCUUAUUGACAACACAAAUGUGCAAACGGAUAAUACCGUUGAUAAUGUGAAUACUUCUAAUGCGGAUGUUGAAGAUUCUAGCUAUUUUACUAGCCUACUAUAUCCCCCAUUUUAGAGUUUCGUACAGGGCCUCCAUUUAUACCGGGACUCCAUUUAUACCGGGACGCCCUGCCUAUAUAUAUAACCUAUCAGCCCAAAAAUACACCACAAUUCACAACAAUGGCCACUGCGAGCUACCCGGUCCCUCUAGUGUUUUUGGUCAUCUUGCUACCAGUCCUAUUGCCUGCUGUCAUUUCUUCGUCUCCAAGCCUAAGUGUAACCCAUGUUAAUGGCAGCUACACAGAUGUCACUGCCCUGCUGGCUUUCAAAUCGCUGCUCUCUGAUCCUCUCGGAAUCCUCGCCAGCAGCUGGACAUCCAACGUAUCCUUCUGCCGAUGGGUCGGCGUCUUGUGCAGCCACAACUGGCCACGCGUCACGGCUCUGUGGUUGGUGGACAUGCCCCUCCAUGGAACGCUCAGCCAACACCUCGGUAAUCUUUCUUUCCUCACCAUGCUCAACCUCACAAGAAUUGGUGUCGCUGGACACAUCCCUGCUGAACUUGGAAGGCUACGUCAGCUUAGGUUUCUCGAUCUUUCUGGAAAUGACCUCUCAGAUGCCAUUCCUAGUACCAUAGGAAACCUCACAAGGCUGAAGAUUCUUCGCCUAAGUAACAACACCCUCUUGGGGCAGAUUCCACCACGGUUACUAUAGAGCACGAGAAACCUUCAAUGGUUUUCUCUAGUAUGGAAUGACUUGAGUGGUAACAUACCGUUGUAUCUAUUCAAUAACACACCUUCCCUCAAGCACAUGAACCUCGCAAAGAAUAGCCUAUCAGGUCGUAUUCCAUCUGGUCUUGCAUCAUGCCAACACAUGCAAAUGACCUCCUUGUCAUACAAUUUUUUUUGUCGAUGUUGUGCCAACAUGGUUGGCUCAAUUGCAACAGCUUACCUAUCUAUUGUUGGAUACUAAUUCCUUACAUGGCUCUGUCCCAGCUGUUCUUAGCAAUCUCACCCGUAUUACUAAUCUUGGACUUUCUUUCAAGAACCUGACAGGAGAGAUUAAAAAAGAAUUAGGCCUCAUGCGAGAACUCUCGUAUGCAUCUUGGACAGAAUUUGCUAACAGGUCCAAUUCCACCUUCUAUUGGAAAUUUAUCGAAACUGUCUUACCUAGUAUUGACUAAUAAUUCAUUGUCUGGAUCUGUACCAGCAAUAUUUGGGAGCAUUCAAACUCUAAUCUGGCUAGGACUGGAAUAUAAUAAUUUGAGUGGGAAUCUUAACUUCUUGUCAUCUCUUUCCAACUCUAUGCGACUCCAACGUUAUAAUUCUUUCACCGGACGAAUCCCUUACACUGUGGGGAAUCUGUCUACACAAUUACUUGUGCUUACCCUUAGUUACAACAAGCUAACAGGUGGGCUUCCAUCCUCACUGUCAAUCUUGAGCAGUCUUGAGUUGAUUUAUCUUACCAACAACCAGCUCACAGGGACUAUCCCGGCACAAAUUAGUAUGCUCAGAAACUUACAAAGGCUUAUUAAAUCUAUGGAAAUAGAUUUCAUGGCUGUAUACCUGAAAGCAUUGGAAAUCUUACCAUGCUAGAAUACGUCUGGUUGUCCCAGAACCAAUUCAAUUCAAUUAUACCAGCAAGUUUGUUCCACCUUGACAAAGUUACAUCCCUAGCUCUUUCUAUGAAUUUCUUUUCUGGUCCACUACCAAGUGACGUUGGUGGGUUGAAACAAGUGUUUAUGAUUGACCUUUCUUUCAACUUUUUGCUUGGAAGCAUCCCCGAAUCAUUUAGGAAACUAAGCAUGCUCGCCUAUCUAAAUCUAUCACACAAUUCAUUUGAGGACUCUAUCCCCGUGUCAUUUAAAGAGCUGAGUAGCCUCGAGUGGUUGGACCUCUCCUCCAAUAAUCUCUCAGGUACCAUUCCCAUGUUCCUAGCCAAUUUAACCUUCUUGAAAACCUUGAAUCUCCCCUUUAAUAAUCUACAAGGCAAGGUACCAGAGGGUGGUGUUUUCUCUAACAUCUCGUUGCAAUCUUUGGUUGGGAAUAUUGGGUUUUCUGCAAACCCCGUUUAGGAUUCUCUCCAUGUAUGGAGAAACCUCACUCAAAUACGAUGCACUUUCUAAGAUUCCUGCUCCCUUCUCUCACCAUAGCAUUUGGUUGUACUGUGAUUUUCAUUUACCAAACCAUUAGAAAGAAACUUAAAAACAAGGGAGAGGUUGAAGAUUCUGGCAUUGAUCCUAGCAAUGUUAUGUACCAUGGGCACCUGUCAUACCAUGACCUCGUCCUUGCCACCGGUAAUUUUAGCGACGACAACCUGUUGGGGACUGGGAGCUUUGGAAAGGUCUAUAAAGGUCAACUUAGCACCAGUUUCACGGUGGCAGUAAAAGUUCUAGACAUGCAGAAGGAGCAGGGCAUUAGAAGCUUUGAUGCUGAGUGCAGCACACUUCGCAUGGCUCGGCAUAGGAACUUUAUAUAGAUAUUGAAUGUCUGCACCAACUUGGAGUUCAGGGCAUUGGUGCUUCAGUAUAUGCCCAGUGGAAGCUUAGAGAUGCUCUUACACUCUAACAGCAUAGAGCACUUAGGGUUCCUUAAGAGGCUGGACGUCAUGCUAGAUGUGUCAAUGGCAAUGGAGUAUCUACACCAUGAGCAUCACAAGGUAGUCCUGCACUGCGACUUGAAGCCUAGCAACAUGCUAUUUGAUGAAGACAUGACGACACAUGUAGCGGACUUUGGAAUCGCAAAGUUGCUAUUGGGUGAUGACAACUCCAUGAUAACUGCAAGCAUGCUUGGAACACUUGGGUACAUGGCACCAGGUACGUCCAUACUCCGUACUGUGACACUGAAUUUUGUUUGGUAUAUAUAUUUGGUUAACAGUGCUGAUUCAGUCCUGCUUGAAUUCUUUGUUUCCGGUCUCAUGAGUAGAGUAUGGAUCUUACGGGAAGGCAUCACGCAAGAGCGAUGUUUUCAGUUAUGGAAUCAUGCUCCUUGAAGUUUUCACUGGAAAGAGACCCACAGAUCCCAUGUUCGUCGCAGAUUUGAGCAUUACACGGUGGGUUCGUCAAGCAUUUCCAGCUCAGCUUGCCUCUGUUCUGGAUGACCGGCUAUUGCAAGGUGUUUCUUCCUCUGUCGGCAAUCUGAAUGACUUUCUUACGGCAACAUUUGAGCUGGGUUUGAUUUGCUUAAGUGACUCACCUGACCAGAGGAUGUCAAUGAGAGAUGUCACGGUGGCACUGAAGAAGAUUCACUACUAGAAAAAUGACCUUUCAUCCCUAGCCUUAGUACCAGUUGCAUUUGGAACCGGUACUAUAUUAGUACCGGUUCCAAAGGAUACUGCCUGUAGCGCAUUGCGAGGACCCCUUGACAACAAAUCGGCAAUUGAUCUUUGUAGGAAUCUUGUUCAUCAUGAUAGAAGCAAGCAUAUUGAGACCAAAUACCACUACAUCAGAGAUUGUGUGGAAAAGGGCAAUAUUGUGGUGGAACGGAUCUCUACGAAAAAUCAGUUGGCAGAUGUACUGACGAAACCAUUUGGGCGGGCUCUGUUCCAAGAGCAGCGUUGUAAGAUCGGGGUCGUCAAGCUCAAACUCCAGCAGCAGGAUUAGGAGGAGAAAUGUUGCAUGUAAUCCUCCAUCUGCUGUUCGUUUCUUUCGUUGAAUAAGCUCGCCACGUUCAUGGGUUGAGCGAGUCUCUAGGGAGCCUGACAUGCGCGCUGUUCGUAUGGGGCGCGUCAAUAGGAGUGCGUUGUGGGCGUGGGGGAUGGUGCACGCCAUGAGCGGCUCACCGUUCUUGUAGGAGGUUGUUACACUUUAUAUAUGAAAUACACAGAGAAAACGCUGCCGGUUAAGCAGCCCAAAAGAUAACCUGUGAUCACUGUGCAUCUUCCUCCUCGCGUGCGUGUGUGUAGGUUUGACUUCAAUCUGCCGGAGUGCACAACUGCCAGGCGACGGAGCUCGCCGGAGUUGCUGACAGCGGGCAGCCUCUCCAGUGGCGGCCGCUCUUGGGCAGGUGGAGCGGCAUCUCGCUGGUGGGCGUCCGCUCCAGCAGCAGAGGCGCAUGAGCAGGUGGUGGUAGGGACUCCGCGGCGGCGACUCGCGAGCGGGCGGACGCUUUGGCGGCGGGUGCUCACGCACGGGUGGAGCGGCGACUCGCGGGAGGCCGGCCGCUCCGGCAGUGGAGGCGGGUGGCAGCUCCGGCCCGACCCUUCCUCUGUACCGCCACUGCAACGAUGGAGCCACAGGCCCCGCCCUCCGCGCUGCAGCGAAGGCAGAGUACGGUGACGCAGGCGGUGGUGAAACAAGGUGGAGAGGAGGAGAGGGGGCGCACCUCGCCGCGGCCAGCCGGGUGAGCUCGAGCUCCGCCGUUGGCCAGCUACGCCGGGUGAGCGAGUUGGGCCAACGCGGCCGGCCGGGCGAGCUGGAUCUCCGCAGGGCAUGAAGACAGGAGAGAGAAGAAAGAAUAAGCAGAGAGGAGAGAGAAAAAUGACCUAACGAAACUACCCUUCAAAACCUUCAAAACCUGUGAAUGGCCAAAAUGUAAACGGUUUUAGUAGCACGAUGGUCGAAGAUUUUGGAGUUGGAUGGUGAAAAUCAAACUCAGGUGAUAGUUCAAUGGUCAAAAAUGAACUUCCUCAUUAUUAUUUUCCAGCAAUAGAAAAAGUAUCCUGUACGAAGAGAAUGGAAACAGAGAGCCUUUAUGUAUCAGAAAUAAGUGAAGAUACUUGACUUGCUGAAAUUAAAUCAAAUAGGAAGUACAUAAGUUUUACAAGAAAACUUGAAUGCUGGAUUUAGAAAAAUAUACAUGCAGCUGCCGGAGGUUUGUGAGGUGCUGUAUAUACAUGCAGGUAAAGACUUAGAUGCUAUCACAGCCCUUGAUGACGAGCUUUUUAAGAGAGGAGAUGUCGCUCAGCCAUUCUGGCAGUGCUGAUAUGCUGUGACAACAAUUCAACUCGAGUGAUUGAAGGGAGCUAGUUGCUGUAUGCCCUCCGGCAAGCUCGUCAGAUUUAAACAACAGGAGAAUUCCAACUCCUGAAGGGCAGGAAGUGGUGAAACAGCCUGAAACUCACUAGGACAGAAAAUAUUUUUGCUGGCGGGUGAAAGGACACUGCGCCCAUCAACAACUUUGAACUAGCACAAAUGGCCCACUGUGCUGACAGGUGCUCGUUCGCCAGCACAGUUUGAUUUUUCAAUUAAAAAAAGCCGUCAGGUCGCCGCUGCCUGCACUACGGGAAACUUUAAAUUUGCCGAGUGUUUUCUUUUUGCCGAGUGUUUUUUUUCGGACACUCGGCAAACAAGCUCUUCGCCGAGUGCCAAGCCAAAAACACUCGGCAAAAAAAAACACUCGGCAAAUAGUGGCUUUGCCGAGUGUCAAAUAAAAAACACUCGGCAAAGCCCCCUCUUUGCCGAGUGUCAAAAAAAACACUCAGCAAAGAGGGGGGUUUGCCGAGUGUCAAAAAAAAACACUCGGCAAAGAGGGGGGUUUGCCUAGUGUUUUUUUUGACACUCGGCAAAAAAAUAAUUUUUUUUUCUCUUUUCACCUUGAAAUUUUUUCUACUCCCCACAUACAACAUGUGGUACUCCAUGUUAAAAUUUGGUAUAUUUUUGAAUUUAUUUGCUAUAUUUAUUUAAUUAAUUGUAUUUCAAGGGAAUUUUUGGUAUAAGUAAAAUUUGAACUGCAAGUGAUUCAAAUUAUGGAAUAAAAUGAGUAGAAAAAUGAUAUUCAUGUUAUUUGGACCAAUUUGAGACCUGACCCAUGAAAUGAAAAGAAAUUUCGAACAUCUUGUUCAGGAAACACGACCAUGAACGUGUGGCAGUAGUAUUUUUAAAUUGUAAAAAAAACAAUCAAAGUCUGAAAAUUAUGAGAUUUGCCAUGAUGUGAUGAUAUAAUACGUGGAGGCUGUGGAAAAAAAUUGAGAAGGUUUUGCACAUUUCAUCAUGUACGAUAAUUAUAAACCGAAGCAUCUCAGAAGAAGAAUAGUAACUUUGAGAAGGAUUCGAUAAAAUUUAGAGUCGAAGUGACGGUCGAGUUCGGUUUGACUACCAAACUUUUUGUAUAGUCAGUAGAGAACCUAUAUUGGUCCGUGUGAAAAUUUGGUAUUUUUUUGAAACUGUUGAAUAUUUUAUAAAUUUUUUUCAAAAAAAGUUUGCCGAGUGUCCUACGUUGGACACUCGGCAAAGAGUUUGCCGAGUGUCCAACGUAGGACACUCGGCAAACAGCUCCCACCACAAAACAAAUAGCCGCCCCCCCCGGGCCCCCUCCCCACUCUCUAUCUUCCUCGGCCCCCUCCCGGCCCCCAUUCUCCUCUUGCCGCACGCCGCCCUCCGCCGCCGCCGCCGCCGCACGCCUCCGCCGCCGCCGCCGCCGCCCGCCUCCGCCGCUGCCGGCUCCCCUCCCUUGCCUAGCGCGCCCCCUCCCCUCCCCUCACUCCAUCCUCUCUCCCUCCUCUCUCCCCGAAGGCCCCUGCCGCCGCGCGCCGCCCGGCGCCCCCCGCCGCCGCCGCCCGGCGGCCCCGGCACCGCCGCCCGCCGCCCCGCGCUCCCGGAUCCGCCGCCGCCCGCCGCCCCGGGCCCCGGAUCCGCCGCCCCGGCCCCCGGAUCCGCCGCCGCCGCCCGGAUCCGCCCGCCGCCCCGGCCCCCGGAUCCGCCCGCCGCCCCGGCCCCCGGAUCCGCCCGCCGCCCCGGCCCCCGGAUCCGCCGCCGCCGCCCGGAUCCGCCGCCGCCGCCCCGGCCCCCGGAUCCGCCGCCGCCGCCCGGAUCCGCCGCCGCCGCCCCGGCCCCCGGAUCCGCCCGCCGCCCCCCCCGGCGCCCGGCCCCCGGCCCCCGGAUCCGCCGCCCGCCUGUCCCCUCCACCGGAUCCGCCGGCGCCGGGGCCUGAAGAGAAGAGGAGAGGAUGGUGGCGGCGGCGGCGGCGGCGGCGGAGCAGUGGCGCCCGUGUAUGAUUUUUUUUUUAUUUUUUCAAUAAUUGUUCGCUGAGUGUUUUCUGGGCACUCGGCAAAGUCUUUGCCGAGUGCCCGACACAAAACACUCGGCGAACUAGUGUUUGCCGACUCUAUAUUUGCCGUGUGCCGUUUGCCGAGUGUUACACUCGGCAAACGGUUCGCCGAGGGUAUUCUGCCCUUCGCCGAGUGCCAGGGGCACUCGGCAAUUUGACUGUGUCCGGUAGUGCUGCCGCUCGAUGGGGAACACGUACGGCGGCGGCUGUAGGUACACCCGACCUCACCACCUAACCCGAAGUCAUCGGCGCCGCGCUGUAGAACCUGCCGAACUCGGCGGCGGUAGCUGUAGGUAACUUAGCCUCGCCGCCUAACCUGACGUCAUUGGCACCGGCGCUGUAGAACUCGCUGAACUUGGCGGUGGUGGCGGCGUCGCUGCUGCCACCACCAUAGACCGAGUCGCUGCAAUCGAGGAGCAGGCGCGCCCUCUUCGUGACCUCCCCUCCGACGCAGUUCUCCUCCGGACCUGAGGCGAAUCCGAUGCCGCUUCUCACGUCGGAGGCCCCGGAGGAGAUGAGGCGGCACGGGACCCAUGGGUCACCGAUGACCUUGAUGAGGAAGGUGAGCAUCUGCUUUGUCCUCGAUGGCGCGCUGCUCCCACUUCAGCCAGACCACCUCCAGGCAACCACAUCCUCGUCCACAGUCCCGGUGUCGCCACCGCCACCGCAGGCAUCAUCCUUGCGCUUGCCGCCACCACCGAAGCCGCCCGCAGCUGUUGCCGCCUCCGCAGCCGCGCCUACCGCCGCUCCCGCGGCCCGCCGAGGCUGCCACCCGCUGAAGGUCCUGCCUCCCCCAGCCGCUGCCCCCACAUCCACCACGCCCUAGUGGACGCUGCUCCCCCAUCGCUCCUGUGCAUCGCCGGUCGUGCCUCCCACCCACCUGUGUGAACAGAUAAGGAGAGAGAGAGGAGAAGAAAAAAUACCUCUAAGGAAGUGACGAACGGACCUUCAAUCUCCCCUCCCCUCCUCCCUCCCUCCCUUUCACUAGUAGAGAACUACCUUCCAUCCACCCGUUUUAUCUUGGUUGAUAUUUGGCCCGUAACUAAAGGUUCACGAACCAGGACUAAAACUCAGCCACUGGCGGAGGGCUCACCAACCAGGACUAAAGAGCCCCUUUAGUCCCGGUUGUAAAGGCCAGUGGCCCUGAGGGACCUUUUGUCCUGGUUGGAAACACCAACCAAGUCUAAAGGCCCCUCUUUAGUUCUGGUCGGUAAUUCCAACCAGGACUAAUGUUUCCCUUCUUCUUCUCCCUCCCUUCCUUCUUCUCUCCCUCCCUCUCUUCCUCUUCUCUCGCUGCAGCUAUGGCUCUCGAUCUAACUCUAGCUCGCUCGACGCAUGCAGAAAUGAAAUGGGCGAGCAUCCGGGGUGGAAGCGCCUCUAAAUUCAAACGACGCCGUCUGCGUUCCGCCAAAUCACCCGGUGGAAGCACCUCGACCCCCGCGCCACUGAAUUCUGUUACCACCGUUUCAAUCAACGGUCCACCUUUACCGCCGUUUCAAGCGGCGCCACAGGUCUAUUUAUGCAAAUUUUUCGUUCGACUAUUUAUUUCUGCAAAAUCAUAAAAUAAAUAAUAUAAAAAUAAAAAAAAAUUGAUAUGACCGAGAACUUGUUUAGAACUUGAACACCUUCCCUGCCAAUUCGAAAAUCCAAAGCCCAUCAAAGAUCAUACGUUGCAGCCCAGUUAUUUCCCAAUAGGUGGUAGUCGGCAGCCCAAUAGGCCCAAACGACCAAUAAACUAUUUCUUCUCAUCCCUCCGACUCCUGCCUGUGUCUCCCGAUGCCGACGGUGCGACGAACCCUAGCCACGCCUAACCGUAGCAUUGAGAUAGCAGGGAGAGGAGGCUGGGCAGGCAAGCGACCCAGCUCAUAAAGCAGGAUUGGAGUCGGCAACUGAAGUCGGUUGUUAUGGCCCAAGGCCAAGGUAAGUUCUGCCCCAACUAAUUAAAAUCUUGGGUACGUAUUAGUAGAGAUAGAGAAAAGAUGAAGAAUUGUUAUGCAGUUGACAAGGACUGUUGCAGCUCGUCCAAGGCUUUCGGGUACCUAUUGCUGCAUCCCCAACGGAGGCCGACCUGAAGAAGUUCAAAGUAUCAGCGUCACCUCCACCUUGCACACCGAUGUUAGUGCCCUAGCAGGAUCCUUCCGGUGGUGGGUGAUCCUUGGGUAGCUGCUCCUAUAUUGAGGAUUGGCUCUGGCCCCCUCAUCUACAACCUGCUUGACCUCAGGAUUGACCAUGGCUAGGUUCAUCAUAUUGCAGCACUGGAAUUGGCACAACUUCUCCGGUGCGACCUUCUUUAUUAGCUCUGGCCUCCGGACGCGACAACUGUUCCAUCGUGCAACCGCUUAUCGCCUCGGUCUGGGCUAAACACUUAGUCAGCUACGCACCAGAUUGAUCAUCAAGCACGACAGUCCUGCAUUGUUGGUGCAAGUUAUCAUUCAAGCAAAAUAGGAGGUAACAGUAACUACAAGACAGCCAGCAUAAGAAAAUUGCAUUUACAAGGUGUUCUUCUUCACUCUGAAUUUGGGGCGCAAUGGUGGUGACGGUGCUGGUGUAUCCCCACUGGAUCCUCCGUGGAUCUGCACCUUCAACACCUCCUUGACACGCUCCGUGUCAUCCACAGUGGUCUCAAGGAGUUCCAACUUCUUUUUCCUAGCGACCGGGCUCGGCGUGUCGGACUUCUCAUCCGCCUCGCUUGCCAACGUGGCCGUGGAUGCUGUGCUCGGGGCUGCAUUCUCCUUCUUGCUAGCCAUCUUCUUCCUCUUCCCGCUCGGCUGCUGCAACUUGGAGGCGGUCUUCUUGCGCACGUCUUGCCGUGUCUACCGUCCAACCGGUGCAGUGUCUGUGGCCUAGCCAACCCCUUCCAGCACGUUCUCAUCUGAUCCAAUGGAGGAGUCAAGACUCCCACUGAAGGUUGGCAGGCAGAUCGUUGGGCUUGUCAGUCGAGCUGAGCUUGGGUCGCUGCGGCUCACCCCUCUAGGAAGUGGCGCUGGGCAAAAGAAUAUAAAUUUGUUGUCUGCGUCAAUUCACAAGCAUAUUUAGAAACAACUCACAAGCACAUACAGUAGCCCAAAUCAAUGCCAUUGACAAUCUUACCGGGUUGGCUGGCAUCCUCUUCAACAAAUAAGCCUUGGGGCAGCUCUUAUUUUUGAUAACGCCCCCAAAGAACUUGGACACCUGGUUGACAAUUUCUUCUUUGGGCACCUUCCACUAGUCCUCCUGGGUCAGGUCCUGUAGCCCUCCGUACUCAUACGCCAGAUGCACUUGGUGCUUGAUUGGUUGAGUCAAUCUACGAUAAAAGUUAUGCUAACCGCUCCGGCUAUUAGCCCACACGACUUCAGAUCAGCAAUCCUCGCCAGCAAUUCCUUCACCUGGACUUGUUCCUCCGAGGUUGGCUGGUUUGACCAGUCGGGCAUGACCACUGGCCCAUAUCUAGUGCGCGGCCGGAGCUCAGGCUAUUGAUUGGCGAUGGUGAACCACUCUUUGUGCCAGCCCUUGUUGGAAUCCUUCAACUGGAGGUCGAAGUACUCCUGGACUUUCUUCGGCCACAGAGAGAAACUACAACCCCUGAUGACUCGGAGCUGUUUCCCCUUGGUUGCAACAAUAUUCAUGUGGUACAAUUACCUCAACAUAUUGAAAUGUGGGGGAUGCCCAGAUACGCCUCGCACGAAUGGAUAAACACCACAAUAUCUAAAAUCGAGUUGGGGUUCAGAUGUACCAGCUUGAUCUUGUAGUCGUGCAGAAGACCUCAGAAGAAGUCUCUGCACGGGAUGCCGAACUCGCGCUUGAAGAACGAUGCGAAGACCACCAUCUCCAUCGUUUCCUCCGAUGGGAAAUCUUGGCCGGCGGUGGGCUCCCAAGCCAACAACUCUUGAGGUUUGAGGAGGCCCCGAUCGACGAGCUUCGCUAUGAUGACCUAAGUUCUUGUUCACCUACACAUCACUCGGGUGCUUGAUGGAUAUGGGUACCCCAUGGGUCCCUACCGACAAGGAUACUGGCCGGACCUUACAAGUGGGCCUGUCUGACCAGGGCAUGCAGGCUAAGGACAUGAAGAUACUUGGAAUACAAAACAAGGUAGCCGGAUAGUUCAAAUUUGCCCAGAUAUUGUAGGGCAUGUAUUCUAUUCCAACUCAUAUUACUUUCCAUGUAACAACCGAGUAGAUUAGAUCAAAACUGACUUGUAACUCUAGGUCAUCAGCCUAUAUAAGGCGUCGAGGGGUGCCUCCCGAGGGCAUCAAAUCUCUCAAGCAAUACAAACCACCAAUCAUAUAGGACAUAGGGUACUACUCUCCGGAGGUCCGAACUUGUCUAAAACCCUCGUGUCCCUUGUGUUCUUGCGAUCACUUUCAAGUUCUUAGUUUUGCAAUCGCUUCCAUCUACAAAUCAACCACUUAGGUAAACCCCUGGUGGACUGCCGGAUUUAUAAAUCCAACAAUCGGCAUGAAUGCAACACACAUAGAAUAAAACUAUCUAAUUUACCUAUACUACAUUUCCUGUCAAGAAAAUAAAUGUUGGAAAAAAUUUAAAAUUAUAUGAAAAUUAUUGUUUAACUGUUCUUUCUAAUCACAUACUGAAAUCCAAAAAUUUCAGGGUGUUACUAUAAUCAACCUUGUAAAUACCUACGUAUGGAAUUAUCAACAAAUUAAUACAGCUUCAAGUACUAAGUACAGUAAAGGAAAAGUAAAUUGCAGAACUAUAAGUCAAAUAAAAUUCAGGUAAACGCGUGAGGCCUGACCAAGUCGUGGUAAACACCGUAGCCCACUAUUUGAAUACCAUGAUUGUAUUCACGUCCUAGCUAGCAAUACCUAUUGGUCGUACUCCCUCCGUCCCAGGAUAUAGCUAUGUUUAGACUUUCAAAUAUCAAGAUAAUCAUAGAGACUAUACAUAAAAAUGAUUAUGGAGCAAUUACGUAUAUAUACUCACAACAUUAUACGUCGUUGCGUGAAUGAUGGACAAAUAAUGAUUGUUCAUUGUCCAUUAUUGUACUCUAGUAAUAGUAUAAUAUUAGUAGUAUAUAUCUUUGUCGGUAAGCAGCAGGUCUUACAAUUCAACUUGAUCAGAUCAAGUUAGGUCACUUUCAUAUAUAUUCCAAAACAUAGGUCCUUUUCAUUUUUUAGAUACAUAGAUUUUGCUAUGCAUCUAAAUAUAGAGUUAUGUCUAGAUACAUAACAAAAUUCAUGUAUCCAGAAAAGUCAAAAUAACCUACAUUUUAAAAUGAAGGGAGCGUAUACUUGUUUUUGGCAGUUGUAUUUACAUAUGUCCACGUAUGUCUUCGCCUGAUUUGGUGCUCAAGUGGGCUUAAUUAUUAACUCUUGAACCACCAAGCUGAUGAACUGAUGACUACAUUACAUACGUGUUAUUCCUACCCGUAUGAUCGUACUACGCCUCAUUUAAUGUGAAAUAGUUCCUCCAUAAGUUUCUUUUAAUCCAAAUUCAAUGAAAUAGAUGCCAAUGACCACAUCAUUUUAUAGUGUACCAAAAAACUGCACACUUGCAGCUUCUUCCCCAAGUGGAAUAUGGAAAAGGUCACCAUAUAUAGCUACGAAACACUAGUAGGGUCAGCAAAUUAAAGCAAUGCAAUCGAAUGCUCAUGUGUUAUGAUUCCUUCUACUACUUGUUUAAGACUCCAUGACACUGAAGAUAAUUUUAGGAUGUUCAUUCCAUAUAUAUCCACUUGCCACUUUAGCACAAUCUGCAUGACCUUUGACCUAAUCAUGCGACAGAAUGAUCACUUUAUAGCACCAAACUGAAAUUUGAUACAUUAACCUCACAGAAGUCAACGUCUAAUCCUGAGACUGAGUCGACUUAAUCUUUAAAUACCACCGCACCAGUACUGCAUCAAUACCGGUUCAAACGUCUCAAGCCAGACAAUAAUCUUUAAGUACUGCAUCAAGGCUUUAUUUUGUUUUGGUAGGAUAAUAUAUCUUCCCUGAAAAGGUCGAGUGUGCUAAUAUAUGUCAAUCUUCCAAACCUCGCAACGUUAACGAUCCAGCAUUUUGGAAUAAAAACACUCGGCAAAUCGGGACUUUACCGAGUGUCAAAUAAAAAACACUCGGCAGAGCCCCCUCUUUGCCGAGUGUCAAAAAAAACACUCGGCAAAGAGGAGAGUUUGCCGAGUGUCAAAAAAGACACUCGGCAAAGAGGGGGGUUUGCCGAGUGUUUUUUUGACACUCGGCAAAAAAAUAAUUUUUUUCCUCUUUUCAUCACGAAAUUUUUUCUACUCCCCACAUACAACAUGUGGUACUCCAUGUUAAAAUUUGGUAUAUUUUUGGAUUUAUUUGCUAUAUUUAUUUAAUUAAUUGCAUUUCAAGGAAAUUUUUGGUAUAAGUCAAAUUUGAACUGCAAGUGAUUCAAAUUAUGGAACAAAAUGAGUAGAAAAAUGAUAUUCAUGUUAUUUGGCCCAAUUUGAGACCUGACCCAUGAAAUGAAAAGAAAUUUCGAACAUCUUGUUCAAGAAACACGACCAUGAACGUGUGUCAGUAGUAUUUUUAAAUUGUAAAAAAACAAGCAAAGUCUGAAAAUCAUGAGAUUUGUCAUGAUGUGAUGAUAUAAUACGUGGACGCUAUGGAAAAAAAUUGAGAAGGUUUUGCACAUUUCAUCAUGUACAAUGAUUACAAACUGAAGCAUCUCAGAAGAAGAAUAGUAAUUUUAAGAAGAUUCGAUAAGAUUUAGAGUCGAAGUGACGGUCGAGUUUGGUUUGACUACAAAACUUUUUGUAUAGGCAAUAGAGAACAUAUAUUGAUUCGUGUGAAAAUUUGGUAUUUUUUUUGAGACGGUUAGAUAUUUUUUAAAUUUUUUUCUAAAAAAAUUUGCCGAGUGUCCUAUGGUGGACACUCGGCAAAUAAACCGUUUACCGAGUGUCCACGUAGGACACUCGGCAAACAGACGGCCCACAAAAUAAAUUAACCUCCCCCAGCCGGCCCCCUCCCCCAACUCCCUAUCUUCUCCUCCUGCCGCCUCCUGCCGCUCCCUGCCCCCUCCCAGCCCACGCCUCCUGCCGCCGCCGCCGCCGCAUGCCAUCUCCCUCCCCCGGCCCCCUCCCCUCCCUCUCCUCCGGCAGACGCCAUCUCCCUCCCCUGGCCCCCUCCCCUAACGCCCCCGGCCCCGCCGCCCGGCGCCCCCCGGCCCGGCGCCCGGCGCCCUCCGCCCGCCGCCCCGCCGCCCGCCGCCCAGCCCCCGGCCCCGCCGCCCGGCGCCCAACCCCGCCCGCCGCCGCCCCCUUCGGAUCUGGCCGCCGCCGCCCCCUUCUUCCCCUUCCCUGGCUCCCUCCCCUCCGGCCGGAUCCGCGCCCCCUUCUUCCCCUCCAGCGCGGAUCCGGCGGCCCCCACCUCUCUCCCCUCCGGAUCUGGCGCGUGGUGGCGGGCGGCAGCGGCGUGGCGGCAGCGGGCGUGGCGGUAGCAGGUGUGGCGGCGGCGGGCGGCAGCGGCGUGGCGGCGGCGGGCGGCAGCGGGCGUGGCGGCAGCGGCUGGCGGCAGUGGGCGGCAGCGACGGGCGGCAGCGGCGUGGUGGCGGGCGGCAGCGGGCGUGGCGGCAGCAGGCAGCGUGGUGGCCGUGGCCGUGGAUGGCCUGGGCGUGGCGGCGGCGGCGGCGGCCAGCUGGAGCUGCCCCCGGUGGCCGGGGUAUGUUUUUUUUUAUUUUUUUCUGGAAAUAGUUUGCCGAGUGUUUUGUGCCACUCGGCACACCCUUUGCCGAGUGCCCGACCAAAGACACUCGGCAAAGUUAACUUUGCCGAGUAAAACUUUGCCGUGUGCUCGUCGCCGAGUGUUACACUCGGCAAACAAGUUGCCGAGUGUUUUUAGGGUUUCGCCGAGUGCCUGGGGCACUCGGCAAUUUGUAGCUUUCCCGUAGUGGUACCUCUAUGACUACACCGUGUGGGCUGUGUUCCUGCUUCUGCUCCUCAGCAGCACGGAUAGCCUCACGGCUUGCCGCCUCAAUGACAUUGACAGCUGGAAGAGCAUCUACGUCAAACAACUCUUUAAGGGGUUCUUGCUGGUGUAUAUCAUUCUAAAGUUUGGAUAUUACAUCGAGAAGGAUGUGGAUGCGGACCACCUGUGGUAUCCGCUCUCAGCCAUCGUAUUUCUUAUUGUCAUCAAGUAAUAUGUGAUGAUAGCUUCCAUGAGGAUGGUGAGCAAGUCCUACCUCGGCAAGAACGUGAAGGUGGUCGCCGAUUACAUGCAGUAUAUAGACAACAAGCUGGUGACCUUUGAUCCUGUGACCAUGGAAGGAUACCGGUACAUGGUCGCUGGUGAGAAACACUGUGUCAACCGGCCUGGACACACACCAUGGUACAAGAAGCCGGACGACUUGAAGGUUACCACCGUGGAGCAGAUCUAGCAGUGCGAGGGGAAUCUGCUCAUUGGUGAUCAGGGCAAGGUGCUAAAGGACUUGUGCCUCUCUAUGGCUCUCUCCAAGAUGCUCAACCGAAGGUUUGCUGGCUUCAAGCUCUCAGAGGCAGAGCUUGAGAAAACCCAUGACUUCGUAUUCAAAGGCCUGCUCGCCGGGGACGAGCAGCGGGCCUUCAGGGUCAUUGAGGAAGAACUUGUUUUUCACCAUGACAUGUAUUACACAAGGUACUCUUACCUCUACCAAAAGGGUCGAUACCUGGCUCUCUGUCUGCCUGUCAUCAUGUCUGCCCUAUGCUCGUGGCUCACAGUGACCAGCCUGCUCGACAGGCGCAAAAACCCCUAUCAAAAAUCCUCCUUAUUCGCAAAAGGCGAACUGGGUUACCCCACCAUAGUCACAACUGUUAGGAACGAACGGCGUAUGGAAUAUGAAGUAAAGAAUCAAACCGCAAGAAGACACACGAUUUACGUGGAAAACCCCUCCAAUGUGAAAGGGAAAAACCACGGGCACCAGCCGGCAAUAAUCUCACUAUAUCAAGAGUUUGGGGCUACACGCCUAUGGCGGCUUACAAGAGAAUUUCUCUCUUCUGUUGUUCUUCUGUCUAUCCCACGAAACCCUAGCAAGGGUGUCGGUAUAUAUAUAGUACCGAAAACCCCAGACAGGGGGUAUUGAGCGGUACGGACUCUUGAUCCCGUACGAGGAUGGAACUCCUCCUCGUCCGACCUUGAGUCCUUCGUCCUGGAGUCGGAUGCGCCUGGGACUCCGUCUCGCCCGACCUCAAGCCUGGGGUCGGAUGCGCCUGACCCCUUGAGGGUCGAUCUCCGAUUCGCCCGACCCCGAGUCUGGGGUCGGGAGAUGCUCCGACUCGCCCGACCCCAAAGUCCAGGGGUCGGAAGACGCUCCGCCUCGCCCGGCCCCGAGUCCUGGGGUCGGGAGAUUCUCCGCCUCGCCCGACCCUGAGUGUUAAGGGUCGGGAAGGUCGGCCUUUAUCCUGGAGUGAAUUUGGAACAACUCCAACAAACUCCACCUUGAGACAAAUUCAUCUUGUAUCAUCAACCCUUCAUCCUGAACAGGACAAAGACAAGAAAAAACCACUGGUGCCAACAAUAGUCUCUUGGACUAUCCAAUUAAACCAACUAAGCCUGAGCACAGCUCAAACUUAGUAACAGGAACAGGCUUUGUCAUCAUAUCAGCAGGAUUAUCAUGAGUACUGAUCUUGCAUACCUUCAGCUUACCUUCUUCAAUCACAUCACGCACAAAAUGAUACUUGAUAUCAAUGUGCUUAGUUCUUUCAUGGAACAUUUGAUCUUUAGUGAGGUAAAUUGCACUUUGACUGUCACAGUGCAAACUUAUGCAAGAUUCAACUCCACAAAGCUCGGCGUACAAACCUUUCAGCCAAAUCAAUUCUUUGCAUGCUUCACAAAUCGCCAUAUAUUCUGCUUCAGUAGUAGACAAAGCAACAACCGACUGUAAAGUAGCCUUCCAACUCACAGCACAACUGCCAACAGUAAACACAUAGCCUGUGAGUGAUCUUCGCCUGUCCAGAUCAGCAGCAUAAUCUGAGUCCACAUAGCCAACAAGACCCUCAUCAGUUCUUCCAAACUUUAAACAGGAAUUUGCUGUGCCUUUGAGGUAUCUGAAAAUCCAUUGAACUGCCCUCCAAUGUUCUUUGCCGGGAUUAGACAUAUAUCUACUAACAAGACUCAUAGCAUAUGACAAAUCUGGGCGAGAGCAAACCAUGGCAUACAUCAAGGAUCCAACAGCACUAGAAUAAGGAAUCUUUGACAUGUCUUUGACCUCUGCAUCUGUACUAGGACACUGAGCAGCUGACAACUUGAAGUGAGGUGCAAUAGGAGUACUUACAGCCUUAGCAUCUGGCAUGUUGAAACGCUGAAGAACUUUCUUGAUAUAAUUCUGUUGACUAAGAAAUAGCAAACCAGAUUUUCGGUCUCUUCUAAUUUCCAUACCAAGAAUUUUCUUAGCACUACCAAGAUCUUUCAUAUCAAAACCACUACUCAAUAGCUUCUUUAACUUAUUGAUUUCAUUCUUACUCUUGGCAGCAAUCAGCAUAUCAUCAACAUAUAUCAGCAAGUAUAUAGGUGAUCCAUUAACAUGCUUGAUAUAAACACAGCUAUCAUACUUAGAUCUUUUAAAACUGUGUGAUAACAUAAAUGAAUCAAACCUCUUGUUCCACUGUCGAGGGGACUGUUUCAAACCAUACAAGGAUCUCUUCAACUUGCACACAUAUUUCUCCUUGCCAGGCACUAUGAAACCUUCUGGUUGGUCCAUGUAUAUGUCCUCCUCAAGCUCUCCAUGCAAAAACGCAGUCUUCACAUCUAAUUGUUCAAGCUCAAGAUCAUGUGAAGCAACAACACUAAGAAAAGUGCGAAUUGAACUGUGUUUUACCACUGGAGAGAAAACAUCAUUGUAGUCAACACCCGGAAUUUGGCUGUAGCCUUUAGCAACUAACCUUGCCUUAUACUUUGGAGGCUCUCUUGGAGAUAAACCCUCCUUUCUCUUGAAGAUCCACUUGCAGCGGAUGGCCUUCUUAUUCUUAGGCAAAGGUACAAGUUCCCAUGUACUGUUCUUCUCAAGAGAUUGCAUCUCCUCAUGCAUGGCCGAAAUCCAAUUUUCAGUAUCGCCACAAUGAAUAGCUUCUUUAUAGGUUGCUGGCUCAUGAACAUUCUCCACCUGUUCAGCACAACUCAAAGCAUGGUAAGACAAAUUACACUCUUCAAUGAGACGGUUAGGAGGAGCAACUGUCCGUUUGGACUUUCGUUGAGCAAUGGGUAGAUCCUCCUCUAGAGUUUGCUGGACAUCAUCAUGAGCAUCAGCCGACCCCGAGCCUGAGGGGUCUGGCGCAUCAGCAACAGCCGACCCCGGAGCCAAGGGGUCUGGCGCCUUAGCAUCAGCCGACCCCGGAGCCAAGGGGUCUGGCGCAUCCGACCCCGAGACCAAGGGGUCGGGGUUAUCAGCAUCAUCACGAGCGUUCUCCACCUGCAUGCGCAUACGCUGCAGUUCUUUGUCUGGAACUUGAUCUGAGGGCAAGCUGUCAAUAAACAUCACAGAUUCAUUGAAAAUAACACUUCUGCUCAUAAAGGUCUUUCCUGUUUCCGGGUUCCACAAUUUAUAGCCUUUGACACCCGAACCAUAACCAAAGAAAAGACAUUUAACAGCUCUAGGCUCUAAUUUUCCAUUAUCAACAUGAGCAUAUGCAGUGCAUCCAAAAACUUUCAACUGUGAGUAAUCAGCAGGCGUACCAGACCAUACCUCAAUGGGAGUUCUUUUAUUUAGUGGAAUAGAAGGCGACCUGUUGAUCAAGUAACAGGCAGUAUUAGCAGCUUCAGCCCAAAAACGCUUGCUCAUCCUGGCAUUAGACAGCAUGCACCGGGCCUUGGAUAUGAUGGAUCUGUUCAUGCGUUCAGCCACACCAUUCUGUUGUGGAGUAUGGGGUAUGGUGUGAUGCCUUACAAUGCCUUCUGAUCUGCAAUAAUCAUUAAAUUCACGCGAACAAAAUUCUCCACCAUUAUCAGUACGAAGCAAUUUCACCUUCCUUUCAGUUUGCCUUUCAAUCAUGACUUUCCAGUCCUUAAAAGCAGCAAAGGUAUCAUCUUUCUGUUUCAGAAAAUAAGGCCACACCCUUCUAGAGUAAUCGUCAAUAAUUGUGAGCAUGUAACGAGCACCACCAAGCGAAGGCUUACGAGAAGGCCCCCAUAAAUCAGCAUGAAUAUAAUCAAGAGUACCUUUAGUGGUGUGAACAGAAGUGUUGAAACGUACCCUUUUAUGCUUCCCGAAAAUACAGUGCUCACAAAACUUCAUUUUACUCGAAGUGCAGCCAUCCAGUAGGUUUCUCCUUAUCAAUUCUGCCAUACCAUGGUGACUCAUAUGUCCCAGACGCAUAUGCCAAAGGUUAGUUUUACUAGGUUCCUCAUUAGUAACAGCAGCAACAGCGGAAUCAGAACCAGUUAAAGUACACCCUCUAAGAACAUAUAACUUUGCAGAAUUGAGAUCACCCUUUAAGCAGACAAGAUUACCUCUUGAUACCUUCAGAACACCAUCCGAACCAGAAUAUUUGUAACCUUUUGCAUCAAGCGUGCUCAAUGAAAUAAGAUUUCUGGACAUCCCUGGUAUGUACCUGACGUUUUUCAGAGUGCGUGUCAUGCCAUCAUGAGUCUUGAUCUGAACUGAUCCAAUCCCCACAAUAUCACACGGGCUAUUAUCUCCCAUCCGCACAACAUCCCCUUUCGGCAUAGCCUUGUAAGAGCUAAACCAAUUUCUGUUAAAACAAAUAUGGAAUGAACAUGCGGAAUCAAGAAUCCACUCAUCAUGACCAGCAACACAACCGGCAAAUACCACCAGGCUAUCUCCAGAUUCUUCAUCAGACACGGCAGCAGCAAUAGAGACCUUACCAGCCGACUUGUUUUUCUUCUUCUCCUUAUUCUGUACUUUUCUGCAAUCCUCAACAUUGUGAUUUGUUAGCUUGCAAUAAACACAGAAUUUUUUGUUACCAUGCGGCUUGGACUUUGAACGGCCUCGUCUUUCAUAGUUUUUUCUUCCAUCAUCAUUGGAGGAUCUGUUAUCAGUUCUGCCUCUCACAAGCAAAGCAUCGCCUCUGGAGGACGACGUCCUGUCAUUCUGCACCAUACCUUUCAUCUUCUCCCUUGAUUGGAGAGCCUCAUAAACUUCCUUUAAGGUUAGUUCAUCACGGCUCAAGAGUAUGGUGUCACGAAAAUUUGUAUACGAAGUUGGCAAAGAACAUAACAGUAAAAGACCUAAGUCCUCAUCAUCAUACUUCACCUCCAUUGAUACUAGAUCGGCGACGAUCUUCUUAAAUUCAGCGAUGUGGUUUAUCACUGAAUCUUCUUCCUUCAUCUUCAGGGUGAACAACUUCAUCUUCAUCUGCAUCUUACUGGUUAGAUCUUUGGACAUACAGAUCGAUUCCAGUUUCAGCCAUAGUUCUGCAGCAGUUUUUUCUUUCAGACACUCCUGCAAAAUAUCAUUAUGAAGAUGCAACUGUAUUAAGGCGAGAGCCUUCUGAUCCUUGCGGAUCUCUUCUGGAGUCCACUCGGCCUUCGUCUUCUUCCCGAAGCUAUCCAGCGCCUCAUCAUAAUCGUGAGUUUGCGCCAGAAUUCCCCUCAUCUUGACUUGCCAUAGCGAGAACCGCAUGUCGUAGUUCAGUAGCGGUAGAUCAAACUUCAUCGACGUCGACAUGAAAUCCAAACAGCAACCAAAGCUCUGGUACCACUUGUUAGGAACGAACGGCGUAUGGAAUAUGAAGUAAAGAAUCAAACCGCAAGAAGACACACGAUUUACGUGGAAAACCCCUCCAAUGUGAAAGGGAAAAACCACGGGCACCAGCCGGCAAUAAUCUCACUAUAUCAAGAGUUUGGGGCUACACGCCUAUGGCGGCUUACAAGAGAAUUUCUCUCUUCUGUUGUUCUUCUGUCUAUCCCACGAAACCCUAGCAAGGGUGUCGGUAUAUAUAUAGUACCGAAAACCCCAGACAGGGGGUAUUGAGCGGUACGGACUCUUGAUCCCGUACGAGGAUGGAACUCCUCCUCGUCCGACCUUGAGUCCUUCGUCCUGGAGUCGGAUGCGCCUGGGACUCCGUCUCGCCCGACCUCAAGCCUGGAGUCGGAUGCGCCUGACCCCUUGAGGGUCGAUCUCCGAUUCGCCCGACCCCGAGUCUGGGGUCGGGAGAUGCUCCGACUCGCCCGACCCCAAAGUCCAGGGGUCGGAAGACGCUCCGCCUCGCCCGGCCCCGAGUCCUGGGGUCGGGAGAUUCUCCGCCUCGCCCGACCCUGAGUGUUAAGGGUCGGGAAGGUCGGCCUUUAUCCUGGAGUGAAUUUGGAACAACUCCAACAACAACUCUUGUCGUGGCACUCCUGGAGGCAUACCAGCUGUACCUGUACAUGGCCUCAGGUUGGUUCAAGGUGGCUCUGAUACAGAGCUACGUCAGCGCACCAUUUUUGCACACAAGCUGUUCUGAGAUGAUCAUACGUUUUCUCUUGAUGUUGAAGGCGUUUCGCCCAUGGAAGGGCAGACUUGGGCAGUACUGUUUCCUCGAGAAUCUUGGCCACAAAAGUAAGGUUAUGAAUUGUCUCCAUUAUGCUACACUACGCCUGGUGGACAAGGCCAUGAAGGGGCGCAAGAAAUCAGUGAAGCUGUCUGGAAAUGUAAAGAAAGCCAUCAUUGAUUCCCUACUAGGAAGCAACGGACACCUGACGAAUGGGGUAACAUCGCUCCAAAGAAAUGGCGUCCAUGAUGACCUCGCAUGGGCAUGUGAUGCUUCUGCUACCGAUGGAGCGGUGACUCGCACCAUUCUGGUCUGGCACAUUGCUACAACAUUGUGUGAGCACCAGCUGGAUCAACAAGGCAAAGAAGCAGAGGCGGUUAGAACAGCCUCCACUUUAUCGAAGUACUGCAUGCAUCUGCUGGCUUUCGCACCUAACUUCUUGCCCGAUCACAGCACUAUAUCGGAAUCCAUACUUGAUGAGUUAAUUGUACAGGGCAAGCUACUCGACGGGUCCAAUGAUUUUGAUAGCAGGUGUAAGCAACUAUUGAAGAUUAACACCCAUGAUGGUGAUGGUGGUGAAGCACCCCUUCUUGCACAGGGCGCUCAGCUUGCAAGGCAGAUUGAAGGCAUACAAGACUCGAAAUUGCGGUGGAAGGUCCUCUCUGAUUUCUGGGCGGAGAUGAUGCUGUAUGUCUCGCCGUCUGACGAUGCCCGGGCACACCUGGAAGUUCUUCCAAGAGGAGGGGAGUUCAUCACGCACCUUUGGGCGCUGCUCACGCAUGCCGGUGUGCUGAAGCGAGGCCCUACAGAGCCAAAGGAUGUUGUGUGACCUCUCCAACAAGUGCACACUGUCAUGUAGUGCACACUCUAUCUAGUGCUUGUAACAUUCUAUUUAUAUUGCCUACUGUCAUGUUGGGACACACCAACUUGUGCCACACCAUGUGUGAGUUAGUCUGUCGAGUCUGUAUCUCUUUUCAUGUCGUGUCUGUUGUCGGAUUUUGGUCAGGGUCGGAGUCUGUAAUUUCUGCAAGAUUCGUAAGAAGAGUGCACGUUCAGGUUGUUGGACGUGUGCGUCUUAGGUGGCCGUUACUACAGUCAUGAUCCGGUGACCACUUGGCUCAGGAUCGCUAGUUAUGUUGCAUAAAUAAAGGGGAAGAAAAUUGAAAACGCUGCAGCUUCAUCGCAGCACAAAUCCACUCUCUCUCAGUUGCAUCUGUUUGUGUGUCAAUCGAGCAGCAGGUCCUGUUGCAGAAGAAAACGAGAUAAAGGUACGGACUUUCCUUAUGUGGCGCCUAAGUACAGCUCUAAGGACACAUCCGCAAUUUAUAUGUCACAUUUUUUUGCGAAACCUGAUAUGUCAUUGUUAAAAGUGUUUAUUUAUUUCUACCUUGAUCAGGAUGGGCUCUGUUUCAAGGCAUCAUUAUACACCACGCAUGUAUACACCACCCUGCUUCUGCCGUGCCCUUGGUUUAUAUAUACACCACGCAUGUAUAUAUUUUUUUUUCUAGAAUACGCAGGGGAGCUACGUAUCAUUCAAUUAAGAAGAAGAAAAUAUUAAUACAAAGAUGUUAUUAUAAUUGCAAAUGCAACUUUAACCGGAAAGGAGAUGGUAAAAGUGAAGAUGGAUGUUAUGAGUAUGUAUUUCCAGCAUAUGCUGCCGUAGGUGAGGCUCAUUAAAUACAGCACGCUGUACCUCUUCUGAAUCACACGUUUGCGUCCACUUUCGUAAGGGUUUAGUAAAAAAACAUUAAAGUACAUUUCACCUUUAUUUUUCGGAAUAUAUAAUCAGUUACUCUUAAAUCCAUCAGCACAAUAUAUCAAAACCUCAAUUAAAUAUACAUAUAUUUAUAGUAUAGUGAUAGGAUCCCUGCUGGCUGAUUAACCAUUUCCGUUUGUUGAAAAUGUCGGUCAUACAACUUGUUACAAUUUUUAUAAUAACAAACUUCUUCCUUUUUUAAGAUUAAAAAAACUUUUACUUAUUGAGUUGCCGUAACUUAUAUGUUACUGAAUCAACAUGUAUCCUUAUUUGUUUGCAGCAAUAACUGUUGCCGUCAUCCUAGCAAGUUUGUCAAUUAUUUUGCUUACGAGACGAGAGCAGAAGAAACUUUUGAACAAAAACGGUGGCGACAUUCUAAAGGAUGUGGGUAUCAAAAUCUUCACCAAAGGGGAUGUGAAUACUAUCACAAAGAGCUACAACAAUCGCAUUGGAAGAGGCUACUUUGGCGAUGUCUAUAAGGGGACCAUCCCCCCAAGCACUACAGGCCGCGGUUAAAUGCACUGUGGUGAAAAAGGUGGCACAAACAUACAAGAAACAAACAAGUACAACUAAAAAUAAUACACCAAAAUAAAAGAAAAGCUUUAAAAGAGCGUGCUUAAGGAUAGAACUCGAUCUAGGAUUUAUGAACAUGGGAAACGCUGAGAUCGGAGCUAUUGAGAUGUUUGAUUCAUAAAAGAAAUAAAAAGACUAUAUGCUUGAUUCAUUUUAAUUAAAUAAAGUAUGUACAUAGGUUAUUUCAGAGAAGCUGGCGGCAGCCGACUCAGACCCUUCGGCGGCGGCGGCGCUCCGACAAAAGGACGACGUCAGGGACCAGAGAAACGGACACGGUUCGAUCUCGCGAAGCUCCUCCCGGUUCCCUCUUACUCCGGUGACACUCCUCGGCGACGAAUCGGCGAGGACCGGCGGCGGCGCACGGUUUGCUUGAUGGCUAGGGUUUGGGGAGGAAAAACGGAACGGCGGCGGUGCCCUUAAAUAGGGAGGAGGGGUGCGUGGGUCCACGCUUGGAGAUAGAGCCUAGUGCAGUUUGAAACGAGGCGGAGUCGAGCUGGAUUCCUGGCGGAGUUCGUUGCGGCCGGUGGAGUCGGGGUCGAGCCGGAGGUGGGAGACGGUGGGUGGGGCCCACCGGUCAACCUCAGCGGGCAGUGAGACGGGCCGUUGCAGCCGUUGGCCGGGCUGGCGAAAUGGGCCGUCUCAACUGGUUGGCCGGCGAAAUGGGCCAUCUCAACAUUGCAAUUUGAGUGUACCUGGUCGGUAGCGCCUGAAGGAACUUUCGCACAAUUUCUUCUUCUGUGUAGCUGUUGUCGAGAAUAGCAAGCUGGUGGACGAUCUUGUUGAUGCGAAUGCCGAAAUCAUCCACAGACUCGCCGUCACGGAACUUGAUGGAGUCGAACUCCAGCCGGAGUGUGUUCGCCUUCACCUUGCGCACACGCUCAACACCGACGUACAUGGUCUUGAUCACAUCCCACACGAUCUUGGCCAUCGCCUUGCUUGCGAUGCCACCCAUCAUCUCUGCAGGAACAGCUUUCACGAUGACCUCGAGCGCCAUGCGAUCCUCGACGUAGUCCUCCGUGCCGAGGCUCAUCGCGAUCCAGAGACCACGCGCCUGCAGCAUCACCCGCAUGAGCGCCGCCCAGUCGUAGUAGUUCCUCUUGGACAGCACCGGAAAGGAUCUGCCACUGCUGAUCUCCUUCGUGACCCUGUGGUUCAUGAGCCCGCGUUCACGGUCACUGCUCCUGGACGCUCCCCCGCCGUUGGAGCCGCAGUUCCUGACGCACCAGCAUUGCUCCCGUGCCUGGGCGUCCUCCGCAGCGGCGAGAUUGAUCGUGGACGCACAAUGAAGGCCCACUCUAUCGCCCGGUUGCGCUCCCAAGUCUUGUAGCUGGCUCUGAUACCAAUUGUUACCGACACCGCUGAAACAACUCGUUGUUUGCAGUGACGAACUCCCAGAACUCACGCAAGAACUCGAAUGGAAAACGCCCGAGACUUUGUGCUGCUAACGUCACAGCUUUUUUGAGACUCUAUAUUGCACAUAAAUAGGAAACAGACUCCCUGAAUCCACACGCACGCCAUGCUCCCGGCCUUAUCGUGCCAUCCCACAACUGAGUUACAUGCCGUGCGUCACGGACUAAGGCCUUGUUUACUUCCUAAUUUGGGAUAGGCAAAAUUGGCAUUUUGCCAUAAAUGCGCAACUGUAGCGUUUCGUUUGUAUUUGUGAAUUAUUGUCUAAAUAUUGACUAAUUAGGCUCAAAAGAUUCGUUUCGCAAAGUACAACAAAACUGUGCAAUUAGUUUUUGAUUUCGUCUACGUUUAGUACUCCAUGCAUGUACCGCAAGUUUGAUGUGAUGGGGAAUCUUCUUUUUGCAUAGUGUCAAAGUUGGGAGUUUGGAGGAAAGUAAACAAGGGCUAACAGACCAAUAGAAAAACUAACUUAAGCCACUGCAUGAACUAGAGCAUGCAUCAGGCUCCUAGAAACGUGCUCACACUACAUGAGCCCAGUUUAUUGAAAGCUAAAAGACAGAAACUAAGAGCGAGCUGGAAUUACUAACAUAUUAAUCAGCGUAUUCCCAAAGAGAAGAGAGAGAGAGAGAGUUGUCGUAUGCCCAACAUACAAAAAAAUUGCAGAGAAGAGGACCGAAGGAAAGUUUAGCAGAAGACAAAAUCUACUGCAGAAUUUGAAGAACCGAACAGAGUUGAUUUGCACAAUCACAAGUCACUGACAGAAGCAGUUGGAGUUCCAAUGUUGUCUAUGCAGAAAGCCUUAAUGGGUCUCUGGAUGAAAUGUAGUGAACUACACUGCAGCUUCUUUAAGCUCCGCAGUAUCUGAAAUCUAACAAUGCAGCUGCUAAUGAAGAUCAUUUGAUUCAACAUGAUUUGAGCUUGGUUCCCAGAAAUGUCUCACAGCCACAUGACAGGCUGAAGUUGUAUGUUAAAACAUGGUUUGGUCAAAAGCAAUUUCAGAAGGAGAAUAGUCGAAGGCAAGUAUGUUAAAACUGAAGCUGCACUUCUACAGGCAUAAGAAGUGCACUUCUACAGGCAUCACACUUUUCAAGUCCACAUGGUUGUGACCUGCCUUUUAACCUCGUAUCCCUUUCCUUGAUCAUCCCUGCAUUUUAUAUAAUUUCAACGCUAGGAUUUGCUAACUACCAUCCAUAAGUGUACUCAACCUUACUUUCUUUAUACAAGUUGGAUGUUCCGGUUCUAAAUUCAUUCUGCAUGUGGAGUGGGAGACUACGCCACACCCCUCUAUGCAAAGGUGAAAAACUAUUUUUCCAUAAUUUAUGCGUCUUUUAUUGUUUUGAUGCUAAUCUAUGACGAAGAUUGUAUCAACUACUGAUCCAGAGGGAGGUCCCCACAAUCAAACGGUACUAAAUGAUCACUUUUAGUACCAAUUAUUUAGCUUCCUUUGGUACCGGUUGUUUCAAAUGAGUGAAGGGCACCUUAGCAUGGUAUUUUCAUGCCUACUUGGAACUUUUGGCAAGUUGCUAGACUUUUCUUGGUCUUGGAUUCUACAGCCACUACUAGCGCACCCGAUCAGUGGGCCUCGCAAUUCUUUGCCGAGUUUAUCAAGAUUCCAACAUCAGAGUUUGGAGGGGCUCAUAAAACAUUUCUUCAAACAUUAUUAACCCAGACAUGAUGGCAGACAUAUAGUUAAUUACUGCAUGUGUUCUAGUCAGUAGGAUGGGUUAUCAGGUUUAUUAAUUACGUACUGAGGCGUAGCAUAUAUUGCAGCAAGCCACAAUUUUAGCUUGUCACCUUAAUUGUAUGUUUGCUUUCCCUGCAGUGUGCAUAUACCGUAUUUAGAUAGAAAGUUUUGCUAUUGCUCAUUUGAAGGGGAUCCUACAUUGAUGAGACAUAAAGUCGCUGAGCUUCGUCAGUUCAAAACGCACUAACUAGUUAGGUUGAGUGUUAGCAGUUUCCAUUGACAUGACACCGCUGGAAAACCCAUCUUUUAUCCCGGUUGGUAGGAUUGAGGCAUAUUUCUCCAAUGCCCAACCGAGAUAUAGUAAUCGAGACAAAGGAAGGGGGUCUUUAGUCCCGGGUCGUCGAACCGGGACUAAAGAAUUUUGCGCCAAAAAAAUAUUAGAAGUCUCAAGUCACGCGAUUUUUGAUGCGAAAUAUGCGUGUGCACGAUGCGUGGAAUUGAAACACAUGACCUCAAGCCUCGCGCAUAGCUUUCUUACCAUCCCACCUACACAGAACAUAUGACUAGAUAGGGGGUGCAAUACUUUUGUAUUAACUCAUGGGGAAGUCUUUUAUCCUGAUUGGUAACACAAACCGAGACUAAAGGGUCUAAGGGUUUUAAUCCUUUUUCAGCUACCCGUGGGGGACCCGGUUGAUGUUUCCAACCGGGGUAAAAGGCUCCUCAAGGCCUUUUUUUCCCCUAGCCUUCACAAUCGGGAUAAAAGGUCCCGAUUGGCGAGCCUCCCGCAUGUAGCCGAGCUUUAGUCCCGGUUGAUGAACCUUUAAUACCGGGUCAAAAGGGGGCGCAUGGAAGGUGUGUUUUCUAGAAGUGUGAUCACCUAGUCUGGCAGCUGGAACAUGCGUGGAGUCAGAGUUAAGGUAGAGAGACACAGUUGCUUUUCAAAAAGUAACUGCAUGCUCUGCAAAUAAUCUUUGAUGACUUCGCAAGGUCAAUAAAGGAAGUGAUGCACUUAUAUGAACGAACUCAUUUCUCACUAUUAUUUGACGACCUAGUAUCGGAGACCUCCCAAUUAGUCUUUGCUUGAUAAUUAAGCACGUGAUCAAGUUGGCUUUCAAAACUCUCGUUAGCAGUAGCUUAAUACGUCUUGUUCGAUGUGCAGAAAGUUUUGCCGAACACGGUGCUUUUAGAUGCAAAUUUAAUUAAAAGGUCCGGUGUAAUAACAGCCACCUGCAGCUUGUCUUCCCCAAAAGUGCUCAGGUGUACGAGUCACCAUCACAUGCGCGGUUUUGGUGAUGCCCUCCUAACGAACUGCGAAGAAAAGUACUUAAUUACCACACAAUACUAGCUAGUAUAUACUACAUAAGCAUAUAUGUGUUGGAUGAUGUAAGCAUGCAGUCUCUGGAUGAUGCAACCAAAUUAUUGUACUAUGUCCCGUAAUUAACGUUGUGUUUAGAUUUUUUCCGUGCCAGCAAAACAAAGUGUCUGCAAAAGGCAUGUCUUUUAUUCACCAUCACUCUAACUGACUUAUUUGCGUAGUUUGCUGUUGCUUAACUGCACACACAAAUCAGUUUAACAUUCACAUGAGUGAAGGGCAUCUUAGCAUGGUAAUCUCAUGCCUACUUGGCACUUUUGGCAACGUGCAAGACUUUUCUUGGUCUUGGAUUCCGGAGCCACUAGCUACUAGCGCAACCGAUCGAUCAGUGGACCUCGCAAUUCCAUGCUAAAUCACGUGAUAGAAUGGCACUAGUUAGCACUUAUAGCACAAAACUGAAUUUGGUGCCUUGACCUAGGAUUAGUUUACACCCAAUAAUCCCCAAGUUUUUUAUGUACCGCCCUAUACAAUGCAAUUUAUUAAAACUGCUGAUGAAUCAAGUACGUUCUGAGGCGUAGCGUAUAUUGCAACUAGCAACAAUCUUAGCUUGUCAUCUUAAUUGUAUGUUUGCUUUCCCUGCAGUGUGCAUAUACCGUAUUUAGAUACAAAAUUUGCUCUUGCGCGUUUGAAGGGAAUCCUACAUAUAUCCACGAGACAUAAAGUCGCAGAGCUUCGUAAGUCCAAAACGCCCUAACUAGUUAGGUUGAGUGUUAGCAGUUUGCAUUGACAUCAUCACCUAGCCUGGAGUCAGAGUUUCCAUUCAACGGUUGUUUCAUGGCGGCCAACACAUCGCUGGAGAAAUUGAAGGUCAUAUCGAUCUUCAUUUAUAUAUAUUGCAACUCUCUGAUCUGUUGCCACCAUUUAGUUAGCCGACUCAGGGUCUACAUUUAGCGCUGCAAGUUGAUCCAUCGGGUGCGCAAUGCUUCAAUUUUUGCGUAUAAUUGCAAGUUGAUGAACGAGCUGUACUUUUUUAAAAAAUAAAAUGGUUGCUUAGAAUGUAGCAUUUCUACAGAUUAUUGAUAAAUUUGCUCCGUGGGCGGAUCUAGGGCCCAGGCAGCCCGGGGCGAGCCCAUGUAGUCCCUUUAACAUAUGUGGUAUUUAACCUAAUAAAAGGAGGUUUAUGAGGCAAGAUUAAACUGUUUUGGCUGUGAUUUAGCAACUUAGCCCGGGAUGCAACCCCGUUUUGAAUCCGCUCCUGCGUGCAGGUGCUAAGAGCAAGGUAGAGAGAGAUGUACGAUUGAAGACUGUGGGGUUCUUGAAUCCUAGCUAGUCCGGCGGUGCAGCGGUUACACGCACGCACACUUUGCUGAUCAAUUAAAUAGGAAUAACGGUUCCAACUCAUGUUUAAUAUACCCAUUGUUUUAAACUAAUAAUUAUUUGAGCCCACGAUCCAGGAGACAUCAUCCACAUGCAACAAGAGAAGCAUGGUGGCGAAACCGUGGAACAUCGAAAGGAAGAUGCAAUGCGCAUCAGCCACCUACUGGGGGUAUGAUUCAACUCAUGGAAUCAUAUGGUGGACACAGCACCUCCCAGCAGGAGUACCGGCCAAACAGUCAGGCUGCCUCUAUUAUGUAGUCCUGCCAAUAAAGCAUAUGUAACCAGCAGGAGCCAUGCAUGUAGCCCAGCUAUUUUCAUUUCCACAGCCAACCUCGAGAAGCUACCAAAAUCCUCGACCAAAUCUUUGGCGUGGCACUACAUGCAUGCAUAUAGUAGCGCACCCACACGGUCACGGAUACACCUCACUGGUCCUGUCCAUCUCCUCUCCACUAGGUGAGAGCUAGAAACUACCGAUUAAUUCUCUAAAACAGAAACAAGCACGGUGUAUAUCAUGGUCAUGAUCAUCAUGUGGUGAAGGGUUUAGGGAUUCUUUCUCUGUUUCGAGUUUUUGAAAAUUAAUCUUACCGGUCUGUCUUUGCAGAGAGAGAUGCCGACGGUAGCCAUCACGCUGGACCUGUCAUGUGGCCGUUGCAGAAGCAAGAUCGAGAAGAUCCUCUGCAGGAUUCAAAGUGCGUAGAAUAACUGCAGUAGCUUAGCUGAUGAGUGACCAACUCACGCAUGCAACUGUGUACGCAGAGCGUGGCAAGUUCGUCUUCGACAAGGUGGUGUACGAGAAGGACAAGGUUCUCAUAACCGGGUCAUUCGACGCCAUCGAGCUCUGCUGCAAGCUAACUAGGGCGUUUUGGACUUACGAAGCUAGCAGUUUCCAUUGACAUCCAUUAACACAGUUGCUUCUCAAAAAGCAACUGCUCCAAAUAAUCUUUCUUGAUCGAAUUCACCAAGUCAACGUCUUGGUCUAAGCUAAACAAGGUACUAGCAUACUAAGGGGUUGUUUGGAGUCUCACAUCGGAUGUUCGGAUGCUAAUUAGAAAGACUAAACAUGAGCUAAUUAUAAAAGUAAUUGCAGAAUCCCUGUGCUAAUUUGCGAGAUGAAUCUAUUAAGCUUAAUUAAUUCAUCAUUAGCAAAUGGUUACUGCAGCACCACAUUGUCAAAUCAUGAACUAAUUAGGCUUAAUAGAUUCAUCUCGUGAAUUAGACUUCAUCUGUGCAAUUAAUUUUGUAAUUAGUCUAUAUUUAAUACUCCUAAUUAGUAUCAAAUAUCCGAUGUGACAUGUGCUAAACGGUGUGCCAAACACCCCUAAACAAAUUACUCAUACAUCGUUUUAAUACAAGGUACUAAACAUAUUAACAUAUUCAUUGUCAGAGUGCACGUACAUUGACUACAUUAAUUACAAGGUACUGCAUUAAUUACAAGUGCCGUGGAAUCCGUAUUUCUUGGACAUGCAAGUGCAAUGGUUCAGAGUUUAUUGUAAAAAUUUUGCAGCAACGGAAGCCGUAUUUCAAGUAGGGAAGUAUGUCAGGAACUUAUCGGCCUAUAUAUAGGCUCGGCCCACUAACAAGGGCUGGGUCAAAGCAUGGGCUGGAACGCGGGCCAUGUGCUUUGGUUUAGAGAAGCAAACAAUGGAGGCAGUACAAAGGGGCAACAACCAUACUUGUAUCCAGAACCUUCUAGCAGAUUCUAGAUACUGUCCUUCUUGUUCCUGUACGUGCAUCCCCGUUCGAGUGAAUCAACCAACUAUAGGGUCCAAACAUAAUACAGCAGCCAGGCCGUUCUUGGUCUAGGAGCAGGACACGACGGCGGGGUUUGGGCCAGGCCGCCAGAUCCGACUGGUGCCACCAGCAAAAUGCUCAUACAGUGAGUACGUGGGCCAGUACAUCUUCUUCUGAUCGACCACACAAUAAAUUAUCCAUGCAAGCGUUGGGUGAUGUAAGCAUGAAACCCCACGAUGACUUCACCAAGCAUGAAAUUCCACGAUGCGUUGGGUGACAUCUUGUCUUUUGUGCUUGUAUUAUAUUCCUAGUGUAUACCAAUUUUUCUCUCACCGUAUGGAGCGGGGUCCUGAGGUAGUAUGUACAAGUAAAUGAGUUCUUCAUUUCUUAGACUCCCAUCAACUUUAUUAAUUAUUAAUUAUGUGUUAAGCAUUCCAUGAGUGAAGAGUACGUAACUAACCAUGGUCAUUAUCAUGCCCACUUUAGGCACUGCUUUCAGAUCUAAAAUUUGGAUCCGGACAGUACGCGUCCUCAAAAAACACCACCUUGGAUGUACACUUAAAACUUUGUGGAAAGGAGUGUGCAAUCUACUUGCCAGACAGGCCCAUACCUCAGAAAAUUUUGGUCAAAUAAAAAACACAUUGAAGCUUAGAAAUCUGAUGCCCAACACUACGGGAAAGCUAUAAAUCGCGGAGUGCCUGGGGCACUCGGCGAAACCCCAAAAACACUCGGCAACGUCUUCGCCGAGUGUAACACUCAGCGAAGAGCACACGGCAAAAUUUCACUCGGCAAAGCUAAGUUUCCCGAGUGUCUUUGCUCGGGCACUCGGCAAAGAGUGUGCCGAGUGGAAAAAAACACACGGCAAACUAUUUUCCAGAAAAAAAUAAAAAAAAACAUACCCCUGGCCGCCGCCACCGCCGCCGCCGCCGCCACGCCCAGGCCAUCCACGGCCAUGGCCACCACGCCGCCCGCUGCCGCCCGCCGCUGCCGCCACGCUGCUGCCGCCCGCCGCUGUCGCCCGCUACGGCCACGCCGCUGCCGCCACGCCGCUGCCGCCCGCCGCUGUCGCCCGCUACGGCCACGCCGCUGCCGCCACGCCGCUGCCGCCCGCCGAUGCCACGCCGCUGCCGCCCGCCGAUGCCGCCACGCCCGCCACCGCCGCCACGCCCGCUGCCGCCUGCCGCUACCGCCCGCCACGCGCCAGAUCCGGAUCCGCGCCGCCGGAGGUGGGGGCCGCCGGAUCCGCGCCGGAGGGGGCGCGGAUCCGGCGGAGGGGAGGGAGCCGGGGAAGGGGAAGAAGGGGGCGGGGGCGGCCAGAUCCGAAGGGGGCGGCGGCGGGCGGGGUCAGGCGGCGGGAGGCGGGCGGUGGGCGGCGGGGCGGGGGAAGGGGAAUAAGGGGGCGGCGGCGGGCGGCGGAGGCGUGCGGUGGCAGCCGGAGAUGGGGAGGGAGGGGAGGGGGCGCGCUAGGCGAGGGAGGGGAGCCGGCGGCGGCGGAGGCAUGCGGCGGCAGCCGGAGAUGGGGAGGGAGGGGAGGGGGCGCGCUAGGCGAGGGAGGGGAGCCGGCGGCGGCGGAGGCGGGCGGCGGCGGCGGCGGCGGAGAGGAAGAGAGGAGAGUGGGGGCCGGGAGGGGGCCGAGGCGUGCGGGCCGGGAAGUAGAUAGAGUGGGGAGGGGGCCGGGGGGGGGGGCCUAUUUGUGUUGUGGUGGGGGCUGUUUGCCGAGUGUCCUAUGUUGGACACUCGGCAAAGAAACUCUUUGCCGAGUGUCCAACAUAGGACACUCGGCAAAAAAAUUUUGAAAAAAAUUUAAAAAAUAUCCAACAAUUUCAAAAAAAUACCAAAUUUUUACACGAACUAAUAUAGGUUCUCUACUGACUAUACAAAAAGUUUUGUAGUCAAACCGAACUCGACCGUCACUUCGACUCUAAAUUUUUUCAAAUCCUUCUCAAAGUUACUAUUCUUUUUCUCAGAUGCUUCGGUUUGUAAUCAUCGUACAUGAUAAAAUGAGCAAAAUCUUCUCAAUUUUUUUCCACAACCUCCACGUAUUAUAUCAUCACAUCAUGGCAAAUCUCAUAAUUUUCAGACUUUGAUUGUUUUUUUUACAAUUUAAAAAUACUACUGCCACACGUUCAUGGUCGUGUUUUCUGAACAAGAUGUUCAAAAUUUCUUUUCAUUUCAUGGGUCAGGUCUCAAAUUGGUCCAAAUAACAUGAAUAUAAUUUUUCUACUCAUUUUAUUCCAUAAUUUGAAUCACUUGCAGUUCAAAUUUGACUUAUACCAAAAAUUCCCUUGAAAUGCAAUUAAUUAAAUAAAUAUAGCAAAUAAAUUCAAAAAUAUACCAAAUUUUAACAUGGAGUACCACAUGUUGUAUGUAGGGAGUAGAAAAAAUUUCAUGGUGAAAAGAGAAAAAAAAAUUAUUUUUUUGCCGAGUGUCAAAAAAAACACUAGGCAAACCCCCCUGUUUGCCGAGUGUUUUUUUUGACACUCGGCAAACAGGGGGCUUUGCCGAGUGUUUUUCAUUUGACACUCGGCAAAGUCCUUUUUUGCCGAGUGUUUUUUUUUUGCCGAGUGUUUUUGGCUUGGCACUCGGCAAAGAGCUUGUUUGCCGAGUGUCCGAAAAAAACACUCGGCAAAAAGAAAACAAUCGGCGAAUUUAAGGUUUCCCGUAGUGCAACUAUAUAUCUGCCAAAAGUAGCCAAGAAAGAGACAAAAUGCGUCCAAUUCCCAGCGUUGGACGCAAGUGACUUAUUUAAUGUAGUAUUAAAGAAUAUCUGCCUUGAUUGUUCCUUGUAUACAACGUUAAAAAGCACGUCUUUGCAGUUUGGAACAUAUAUAAGUGGGGUCAUGUCGUACUUUUAUCCAUCAGCAUCUUUAGCUUGGACACAAGUGGCAAAUUGAACAACUUGCGUGCUUUUUCACUAUACGACAGCCCACCGGGACUGACUACAUUGUAGUCAGCAUAGGUCGUUGUAAGGAAGAAUCAUCGGAUGCCAACUCCAUCUAUAAGUCGUUAUCAGUGGCAAAUUGAACAACUUGCAUGCUUUUUGUUGAUGACUAGCGGGUCUUGCUUUUUGUCAGCGAGAACGAACGUAUGUACAGUUUCUCUUUUCAAUUUUUGAUGACUAAUUUCAUUGCUUAUUAUGCCUCAAAAGGGAGGUUAAGUAAACUCUAGAUAAUAAUUCUUCUAAAAACUAAUUAGGGCUGAACCAACUUAAAAAAGUUCAUUAACAUGUGUCACUUGUAGAAAACAUGGAAUUAGUCCUAGUUGGUAGGCCUCAAAUAUCUCGAAAAUUCAUCCGGGAUAAAAAUUUUGAGAUGAAAUGGGGUUCUUUAAUCCUGGGUCAUUCAACUGGAAUUAAAAACACCCGUGCCCAUUAGUAAAAUCAAUUGGGAUUAAGGUCGAUACGUGGAUGCGCCAUGCACGUACCCCUUUAGUACAUAAUACUUUAAAAAAAUAUUUUUCAUGUGAAUAUUGUAUGCAAGUCGUAUAUAUAUUUUAUGGUAGUAUGUAUGUAUGUAUCUAUGUAUGUAUGUAUGUAUGUAUGUAUGUAUGUAUGUAGGGAGAGUAUACUUCGUGGCUAGCUGUAGAAUAGCUUAUAUAUGUCUGUAUGUAUCUAUAUAUAUGGAGAGUAUAAUCCGUGAUUAUUCUAUAGUAACGCGCAAGGAAUGUGGUCUGGAAAGCAACCAUGUACAUAGUACAUCUUCUUUUGAACACAGUAAAUUAUCCAUGCCUUGAGUGAUGUAAGCAUGAAAUUCCACAAUGACUUCACCAAGCAUGAAAUUCCACGAUGCGUUGGGUGACAUCUUGUCUUUUGUGCUUGUAUUAUAUUCCUAGUGUAUACCAAUUUUUCUCUCAACCGUAUGGAGCGGGGUCCUGAGGUAGUACGUACAAGUAAAUGAGUUCUUCAUUUCUUAGACUCCCAUCAACUUUAUUAAUUAUUAAUUAUGUGUUAAGCAUUCCAUGAGUGAAGAGUACGUAACUAACCAUGGUCAUUAUCAUGCCCACUUUAGGCCCUGCUUUCAGAUCUAAAAUUUGGAUCCGGACAGUACGCGUCCUCGAAAAACACCACCUUGGAUGUACACUUAAAACUUCGUGGAAAGGAGUGUGCAAUCUACUUGCCAGACAGGCCCAUACCUCAGAAAAUUUUGGUCAAAUCAAAAAAACAUUGAAGCUUAGAAAUCUGAUGCCCAACUAUAUAUCUGCCAAAAGUAGCCAAGAAAGAGACAAAAUGCGUCCAAUUCCCAGCGUUGGACGCAAGUGACUUAUUUAAUGUAGUAUUAAAGAAUAUCUGCCUUGAUUGUUCCUUGUAUACAACGUUAAAAAGCACGUCUUUGCAGUUUGGAACAUAUAUAAGUGGGGUCAUGUCGUACGUUUAUCCAUCAGCGUCUUUAGCUUGGACACAAGUGGCAAAUUGAACAACUUGCGUGCUUUUUCACUAUACGACAGCCCACCGGGACUGACUACAUUGUAGUCAGCAUAGGUCGUUGUAAGGAAGAAUCAUCGGAUGCUGACUCCAUCUAUAAGUCGUUAUAAGUGGCAAAUUGAACAACUUGCAUGUUUUUGUUGAUGAUUAGCGGGUCUUGCUUUUUGUCAGCGAGAACGAACGUAUGUACAGUUUCUCAUUUCAAUUUUUGAUGACUAAUUUCAUUGCUUAUUAUGCCUCAAAAGGGAGGUUAAGUAAACUCUAGAUAAUAAUUAUUCUUAAAACUAAUUAAGGCUGAACCAACCUAAAAAAGUUCAUUAACAUGUGUCACUUGUAGAAAACAUGGAAUUAGUCCUAGUUGGUAAGCCUCAAAUAUCUCGAAAAUUCAUCCAGGAUAAAAAUUUUGAGACGAAAUGGGGUUCUUUAAUCCUGGAUCAUUCAAUUAGAAUUAAAAACACCCUUUAGUCCCGAUUGGUAAAAUCUACCUGGAUUAAGGUGGAUACGUGGAUGCGCCAUGCACGUACUCCUUUAGUACUUAAUACUUUAAAAAAAUAUUUUCCAUAUUAAUAUUGUAUGCAAGUCGUAUAUAUAUUUUAUGGUAGUAUUAUAUAUAUAUGUACACAUAUAUAUGCAUGCAUGCAUGUAUCUAUCUAUUUAUUAUAUCAUCACAUUGUCAAAUCAUAAACUAAUUAGACUUAAUAGAUUUGUCUCGCGAUUUAGUCUUCAUGUGUGCAUUUCAUUUUAUUAUUAGCUCAUGUUUAAUCAUUCUAAUUAAUAUCUAAAUAUUUGAUGUGAGAAGGAUUAAACUUUAAUGCGUCGAACAACAAGCGAGCGCCUGGAUCUAGGAGGAUUAAUUAUGUGUUAAGGAUUCUUGUACUUAAUUCUUGGCACAGCAGCGGUCAUUCAGCAGAGGCGUCGUCGUUCCAGCGCGCCGGGCGCCGACAGCGGCGUGGGCAGCAUGAAGUCGACCCUGGACGGCGUGGCACGCACGUCGGAGGACUCGUCGUAGCAUACCUUUUGAGCUCCCCGUCCUCAUUUUCCUUUCCUGUAGCCAACUUGUGCUCCAAAAGCAUUGAGUGUGAAUAUGAUUUAAUUUUGACUUGACUAUUUGAAGAAAACUUGUGCUUCAAAGGCAUUGAAUUGAAUAUGAUUUAAUUUUGACUGGACUAAUCGAACAAAACACGCACAGAAGAUGCAUCCUUUGUGCUGCCGAUUUGACAUGCAAGAUUUGACUAGACUACUAUUGGAAGUUUGGAACACACUUUGGCAAGUACGGGACCCGGUAACUACCUGACAGGAGCCGGUCGCUAUUGUCUAGAAAGGGAGCCGGUCGCUAUCCAACAGUAAGCUGAUGAGACAGCAUCCUCCGAUCUGAUGGGAGCCGGUAGCUAUCUGAAAGGGACUGACAGAUUCCUCGUAGUGGGACGACCGGCGUAAGGCUGUCCACACCUGCACCCGCUAAAUCAUCCUCUCUAGUAUAGCCGUAGCCGAAAAAACUCGCACCAGUACUAAAUCAUCCUCUAGUAUAGCCGUAGCCGAAAAAACUCGCACCAGUACUAGGUGACGUCCGCUACCUAAGCGGACCGCCGCUGGUCCACUACUCCCAGCCGAUGCCUAGGACACCCUCUAACCGCCUCCCGAGGUCGCCAGCCCCAACAACCCCUCCCCCCUCGUGCCUCCGCUUGAAACUCCGCUGCCGGACCGCCGCCACGCUGGAACCGUCGCCACCGCCGUCGGGGAGGAGGAGUGGGCCGGCAAGCAGGAGGCCCAAGAGAAGCCGGCGGGGAGGAGUGUGAGGGGGCACGUAGGGAGGAGGAAGAGGCGAGGCAUCGGAAGGGGGAGGGGACCGGUUGGGGAGAGAGAUGGGGAAGAGAGAGAGGGAGGGAGGGGAAUAAAAUAUGUUGUUAUUGGUAUAGAGGAUGAGGUAUAGAGUAACAUAGAUGCGUGAGAAAUUCAUAUAGAGGAGAGAAUCUCGAUGACUAUGAUAGAAUAUUACUUUUAGAGUAUGGAAAUAGAGUAUGUCAAGUGCGGACAACCUUAGACUCUACCAAGUUGCGAAUACUCAUCAGCAGCACAAGUUAAAUCUUGGGUAUGGUCGACGUCUCGAUGACGAUGCCCGUACCACCCGUCGGUGAUAAGCAUCAAAGCAUAUGGGUUCACUGAUACAUACUUUCUUCGAAUUUCAUUCUUCGACCGAGGAAUAGAUACUAGGUCAUGGAUGAAGGGGGUGUUUGGUUCCCAUGGACUAAACUUUAGUUCACUGUUUUAUUUGGUGCACUUUUAGUCCUUAACACCCAAAGAGGUAAACUAAAGAUUUUAGUACUCUUGUCCACAAAAUUGGACAAAACUGGACUAAAAUAUUUUGGGGACGCCCCCGUCCCUCAUUUAUUGCUCUCCCUCCCAUGCGGCUCCCUCCCGCCGCUGCCCUCCCACCCUCCGCUGUUGCCACCCGCUGCCAUCCCACCCGGUCCCCGCCACCCUCCCACCUGCUCCCCAUCGCACGCGCUGGAUGCGGCGGCGGAUACCGCUGCAUGGAGGCAGUCCCCUGCUUGUCUGCUGCGGCGUGGAGGCGCAGAUCUUCUCCCGCCACCGCCACAUUAUGUAGACGAGCGACGCCCCAUCCUGCAGCCAUACCCGCUUCCCCUCAGCCUCAGACACAGUUGAUGGCCGCUGCCGCGGUUGCCCCACCGGGGUGCCCUCGUGCGACACCAGGAGCCUGUGGCGGACCUCCAUAGCCAUAUGGCAGCGGUGUUGGGGGCUCUUCGACGCUUAAACCCGCAGCGCGGAAGAGCACGAGCAGUGGCCACCCGUGGUUUGGGUUGUGUUUUAGGGAUUUUGAUUUGGGGCGAGGGAUCGAUCUACGCCGGGCACUCGUCUCCUGCCACCGCACGUGGAGGAGGAGGAGCGGGAGAAGUGGCUUGCGCCUCGAGCGCCAUGUGGGCGGAUGAGGGAAGGGAAGGGGAGGGGAGGCUGGAAGGGUAAAAUGAUCUUUGUUCAACAACAUUUAUAGACUUCAGUCCACAUUAGUCCAUGGAACUUAACAGGCUAGUUUUUGGAGUAAAGGAACCAAACAGGCCUAAUACUUGUGGUUCUGUUUUUUCUUUGAAAAAGAAUAUCUGUUGGCUUACCCAAGUCAACAGAAGCUGUACCUAGUAUAUAUUGCAAAUAAAUAUAGUGCAUAACAUUGAGUUUUCAAAGGAAAACAAUUGUUUAUAGACAAAGUAUUAUCUUCAUUCCCCUAUAUACAAAAAUUUCUAACAAAUAGCAAACUCAUGAUGAAAAGACUAAGGAAAGACAAUCUGUAUGUUACGAAGACUUUUUACAUGUAACUACGAUAUUCAGAUAACUAAGUAAAUCUCACUGUACUAGGUUUUUACUUUACAUACUCUUGGUUAUAUCUCGUUGCACACUUCAAUUACAUUGGCAUCAGAACCCAAACUCACGAGGAAAGAGAAGGUAUAAUCCAUUGUCAUAGUAAUUGGUCAAUAAAAGAAGUCUUCUUCACCUUUACUCAAAAAAUUACCACAUGAAUUGGAGAAAAAAAAAUACUCUCUCCAUUUGAAGUUACAAAGUUUGUUUCACCUUGCACAUAGACCUAGAAACUGUUAAAUAUGAUUGGAUUUCUAUUAAAAUGAUAUAUUUAAUGCAUGCACGUAAGUACAUGCAUGCAAAGUUAAAAGUGAAGUAAUCAUUAGAGGUAUAUACGAAUAAGACACCCUUCUUGACAUAAAGAAGCAAAUGAACAACCUGACUCGUUAUUAUCACCGAGCGAUUGCGUGCACCAAAGUCUUGCUUUGCUUGCUGGAAGGGCAUGAUCAGAUCACGAAGUACCUCUGUUUCUUUCUAGAUGAACUGCUAAUUGGCUGAAAUUGUUGUUGCAUAUUUCUGAGUCAAUGGACGACGAGAGGGUUGGUAUGCUUAGCUCUUCAGAAACUGUCGCUGGGCACGGGGGGGCCAUGGCCCGCCUUGACUAAUUAGUAGCUCCGCCGGUGCCAUUUUGCAUUGGACAGUGAAAGAAGCCUUGUAUGGAGAAAGUUUGUUUCACCCAAUAACCCACUUUGGCCACUUAAUUCGCCAAACAAAUGUAGACCUAUCUCUCCAUAAACGCCGUGAAUUGACGGGAACCACUGAUAUAUGCGAAAUCGGCAGGAAAGUAGCAUAUGUCGUGAGAUUAGGUUCGUCAUGCAUGGUUAAGAAACUCAAUUCGAAUCGUCUGCCUCUCACAGUUUGAGACUGCUUGACUGCACUUCUACACUGAGUAAGAAGGAGAACAAAGGAUGGUAUUUAAUAUUGAUGUUUGAUUAAAUUGCUUGUUACAAUAUGAUUGCUUUAGCAUAAGUGCUUACUUAGAAUGGAUAAUGUACUAAAAUUUGCUGCUAAAAUUUUGAAAGUAAGGAUCCACUUUAUAGACUUUUGGCAAAAGCAACCCCUCAGCCAGAAAGCUUUGCAUGUCUAGAAGUUGGUGGAGUAGUUACCACCUGACAGUUAAAUCUUGCUGAGUAUUAGUAUACUAAGCGAUGCUUGUGGCUUUACUUUUUCAGGUAUGGUCGUUAGUGAGCUCGCUACUUGUGUGACUCGGUCGUCUCAACUCCCUCCGGGUUGGACUGUCGAGUGGGACCCGUCCUCGGUCGGCGAGGAUCACGGUAACUGAUGACAUGGCAGGCUUCACCAUGGCAUCUCUUCGAUGUAUAAUUUAUCAUUUGAUUUUCCGCUGCUUAAUUUCUGAACACUUUACUUUACGUACUUUUGAAACUCUGGUAUUGUAUUAAAGAGAUUGGAAUCUAUGUAAUAUCUAUUGGAAUGUUGUGAUCUCUGGGGAAAACCCUCACCUUCGUGUGAGCCAUGCUUUAUUCGAUCCGAGUUAAGUGGUUAAUUGGGCUAGACCUGACGGAUGACUAAGUUGACUUGUUUAAAGUGCAUAAUCACGUGUUAGGUGACUUAAGAGCAUUUUAGCUAGGUUAAUUUGGGUGGUCCCGCCACAGCAGCCCUCCUCCUCCUCUCCGUCCGCCGGCCCCUCCUCUUCCUUCGCGCCACCAGCCACAUCCUGCGCCGCCCCUCCUCCUCCCCCGCAGCCGGCCCCCAUCGGCCCCAUACCACCGCCUCCGCCGCCCUGCCUCCGGCCUCCGCCGCGGUGCUGCACCCAAUAACCCAGUUUGGCCACUUAAUUCUCCAAACAAAUGUAUUCCCCCAAACAAUUGCAAUAAGUCGCAUCUACCAUAUAUAUGUGAUAUUUCUCGUUUUGUUUCUGCGCAUACAAGUGUUGUUUUAAGUUCCAAUUUUGUGGAGUGGUAGAGGAUCAUCAUAACAUAUGUGAAAAUGUACAUUAAAUUUUUUAUGAUUAUUUUCAUUUGCAAGAUUCCAAAGCUAGAAUUACAAUCCAGGUCGGUCAACGGAACAAACAAUUAACAUUAAAGGAAGAGACCAACUGGUGCUGUAGUACAGCGCACAGUAGCUAGAGUACAACCUAGAAUAGAAUCUUGCAAAUUCUGAAAGGGCCACACUUUAAUUUAUUUCAUUUCAACAAAAAAAUUCAAAGCCAAAGACUAAUUAUCUACAUUACCAGGAUGUAUAUAGAACUUUUUGAUAUCUAUUUGUCAAAAAAAAACAAAUAGCAGUAUAUGCACAAGCAGGAAGUAAAAAAAAUUAGCAUGAAAUCAAACAAAAAAAGAACAAAUCAAGUUUUACAUUCAAUCUGGUAUAUAUGCAGUAAAUUAAAUGCACACAAUUUGUGUGGUCUACCGUGAUUUUACCAGAAGGAUUUCAUUCUAUGCUACAGCUUGCACCCGGAUGAACAACCACCAAGCGAUGCUUUUCGUUAAGCUAUAUAUAUACAGCCUCAGGGCUCUCCAGGACUCCAAACUGUGUACUCUCUUUAUUAUCAGGCUUCCACUCUGAUUAUUACCAUGGCUACUGCCGACAUGGUUUUGGCACCAAGUCCCCCACCAAGUCCAGCUAUCAUGCCCUUUCAUGAAGCGUUAGGGGCGCUCUUGGUGGUAGCUUUGGUCUUGCUGGCCGUGGUGGCCAUAUUCCUCUUGCAUAUACUGAGUCCGUUACGCCGGUGGUUGAGCCAAGGGCUCCCCCACCAUAUCGUGAUGGGAAUCUACACGCUCUCCUACCCGCUGGUGGGCUACACCAUUGGGCGGAUGCAGAGUUCCAAUUGGUACCUCUAUGACUACACCGUGUGGGCUGUGUUCCUGCUUCUGCUCCUCAGCAGCACGGACAGCCUCACGGCUUGCCGUCUCGAUGACAUCGACAGCUGGAAGAGCAUCUACGUCAAACAACUCUUUAAGGGAUUCUUGCUGGUGUUUAUCAUUCUAAAGAUUGUCCUUGACAUACACGGGAAGAAGAUGAAAGCGGACAAACUGUGGUACCCACUCUCAGCCAUCCUAUUUGUUAUUGUCAUCAAGUCAUAUCUGAUGAUAGCUUCCAUGAGGAUGGUGAGCAAGUCCUACCUCGGCAAGAAUGUGAAGGUGAUAGCGGAAUAUAUGCACUAUAUAGACAACAAGCUGGUGGCCUUCGAUCCUGUGACCAUGGAAGGCUACCGGUACAUGGUCGCUGGUGAGAAACACUGUGUCAAC
rnacentral:lncRNA from 1 species